GCGGCAUCUGAGCGUAGGAGAUCGUCGACGAUGAGUAAAGCGCUUUGCUGAAACUCUGAAGUGUCGCGUUGAAGGAGAUGUGGAUGAGCUGUUUCUCGUCGGCGGUUAAAGCUCCCGGAAAGUCGAGAAGCGUGUCGAUGCAGAGGUUCGGGUAUUGGGCUUUGCUACAGGUUUGGGAGAUUUCUCGGGUAGGUUCACGGUUUAGUUUCGGCGCAUGUUGAUCUGAACCUACCGCUCGGAUGCCGGCAAAGAUCCCUAAGCAGACCACUGCGACAACUAGUACUGCUAGCGUGAAGAGAAUCAGCUUCGUCUUCUUAGUUCUCUUCUGUAGCUCCGGGAGUGACGUGGCAGGGUCUUUCUGGUUCGUGUUUGUUGCCGAACCUGAUGGUCCAAGCCUAUCGUAACCCAUACUGCAAUUUGUGUGUGUGUGGGUUUAGAUUGAAAGUUAAGAGUUCUGUUAACGGAACAAAGAUGAUGUGGAAGUGGCUCUAUAAAUAUUAUUAUAGAUAUAACUAUUGAAGCAUUAAAAUGAUAUGCGUUAUUAUUAUAAACUUAUAAAAUUAUAUAAACACACACAUAUAAUUUGGGUGUCUUUAUUGAAAUGUAUGCCUGAUAGCUGUAAUAUUUGUCGAUGUCUCUAACAGUAAGUAUAUAUAGUGAAAAAGAAGUAUAUAUAGUCAUGUGUAUUAGUAAUAGAUGUUUACAUUUAUUUGUACGAGUGUUACUUGAGGGUAAUGCUCUAUAAAUCAUUUCGUGUCAACGACCCAUUAUAGCGAUUACCUUAUAAGAGGAUAGUAGAAGUCAGAUUACGAUGACAGUUGGUGUUUCUGAAAUGUUAUUUUUAUGUCACUACAGCGAUAAAAGUUAGAAUCUUAUGUGAGUAACCCAAUCCAAACCCACUCAAAGACAGUCUCAGGCCUACCUAGAAAGCCCAAUCAAAAGAAACAUGCGGAGACAAAGAACAUGCUUUCUGUAUCUGCAAUUACAAACAUUAGAGACGACAAGAGGACAAUUGAGCUCAAUAACAGAUUUAAUACCCUACAGUCUGUCAAAGAUGACUAGACUACUUUACAGCUACAAAAGGGAUUAGAUCUAGAUUGUUCUCUUAGCUCUAUAUAAACCUAUUGUAUAGCUCAUUGUAAACUUAUCCAAAAUAGAAGUAAAGUUAUGGUAUCAGAGCCAUUGAUACCUUAACAGGUGAAAUCAAUGGCAGAUCCUCCGCGCACAUAUCCGUUCCCAAGCAAUGUCCACAUCCUAAGCUGCGUUACGUUGAAGCUCACAUAUAACAAUUACUUGCUUUGGAAGACACAGUUUGAGUCUCUCCUCUCCAGCCAGAAACUCCUUGGUUUCGUCAAUGGUGCGACUGUCCCUCCACCAACCACUCACUCUGUCAACACAGACAACACUCCCGGUAAAGAACCAAACCCUAAAUACGAUGAUUGGGUUUGCUCUGACCAGCUCGUUAGGUCAUGGUUGUUUGGUACUUUGUCUGAGGAAGUCCUCGGCUCUGUUCAUACCCUGUCCACUUCACGCGAAGUGUGGCUCUCCCUUGCUGAAAACUUCAACAAAAGCUCCUUGUCCAGAGAGUUCUCCUUGCGUCGGAGUCUUCAGCUUAUCAGCAAGAAGGACAAGAGUCUAUCAGUGUACUGUCGUGAGUUCAAGAAAAUCUAUGACUCUCUCAGUGCUAUAGGGAAACCCAUCGACGAGUCCAUGAAGAUCUUUGGGUUCCUCAAUGGUCUCACUCGAGAGUACGACCCCAUUGCCACAGUCAUUCAAAGCUCUCUCACGAAGUUCCCUGCUCCUACAUUCAAUGACGUUGUGUCAGAGGUUCAAGGCUAUGACGUCAAGCUACAGUCGUAUGAAGAGACACCUACGGUAACUCCUCAUGCCGCAUUCCAGCUUCAGCAGAACAAUGCUCCAAGCUACAACCAAACUCGAGGUCGUGGUCGUGGCUUCUAUCAGAAUUGUGGCAGAGGAGGUUACUCGAAUCGUGGGAGGGGUUACUCGCAGCAUCAGAGCACCUCUAACACAUCAGGCACAAGGCCAACGUGUCAGAUCUGCGGAGGGGUUGACCACACUGCGCUGAAAUGCUACAAUCGGUUCGAUAACAACUAUCAGGCUUCUGAUGUUACUCAAGCUUUCAAUGCCCUUCAGAUGACUGAUGAAAACGGCAGAGACUGGUACCCUGACUCAGGUGCCUCAGCACAUGUCACUGCUAGCACGAACUCGCUGCAAACAAUCACUCCGUAUGCAGGCAAUGACACCAUCAUGGUCGCUGACGGCACAUACCUCCCAAUCACUCACGUUGGCGUUGCUUCCCUUGCAUUACCGUUAGGUAGCAUUCCCCUCAAUGAAGUCCGUGUGUGUCCUGACAUAAAACAAUCACUCUUAUCAGUCUCUAAACUCUGUGAUGACUACCCGUGUGGGGUGUUCUUUGAUGCUAAACAAGUUUGUGUUAUUGAUGUCACCACUCAGAAGGUGGUAACAAAGGGAAUCAGACGUAAAGGAUUAUAUGUGUUGGAGAAUCCGAACCUUGUUGCUCUAUACUCAAACCGCCAGCGAGAAGCACCUGAAAGCGUUUGGCAUCAUCGGUUAGGGCACGCAAAUUACAAGAUUCUUCGACACCUACAACACAGCAAGGAGAUAACAGUCAAUAAGAGCAGAUCCAACCUCAUUUGUGAGCCUUGCCAGAUGGGAAAAAUUUCAAGACUUCAGUUUUUACCUUCUAGUUCUGUGGUGUUACAACCCUUAGAAAGAGUUCAUUGUGAUCUUUGGGGAGCUUCACCUGUAGUAUCCAACCAGGGAUUCAAGUAUUAUGAUGUCUUUGUGGAUGCUUAUUCCCGCUUUUCUUGGUUCUACCCUUUGAGAAAUAAAUCAGAAUUCUAUUCAGUUUUCAUUUCAUUUUACAAAAUGGUAGAGAAUCAGCUAUCAACAAAGCUCAAGUCGUUUCAAAGUGAUGAGGGUGCUGAAUUUGUAAACAAAAACCUUAGUGAUUACCUUGCUCAGAAUGGCAUUAGGCACUUGAUCAGCUGUCCUCACACGCCGGAGCAGAACGGUACUGCAGAGCGCAAGCAUCGUCACUUAGUGGAACUUAGUCUCUCCAUGAUGUAUCAUAGUCAUGUUCCUCUCAGCUACUUGGUGGAGGCCUUUAACACAUCUAAUGUGAUCUCCAACAUGCUGCCCUCUUCAUCCCUGCAAAACAAGAGUCCGAAUGAAGUGUUGCUGAAACAAAAGCAGACUACACUAUGUUGAGAGCAUUUGGUGCAGCUUGCUUUCCUUACCUAAGACCGAUGGCAGCACACAAGCUUGAACCGAGAUCACUUCAAUGUGUGUUCAUUGGGUACAGUCCACAUCACAAGGGAUACAUAAGUCUCUACCCACUCACAGGAAAAGACUAUAUCUCCAGACACGUCGUCUUCGAUGAAGAAUGCUUUCCCUUCAAAGAUACGUACAAGUGUCAAGUGCCAGUCUAUGACACACCGUUAUUGAAAGCAUGGCAAACGCCUUUCCACUUUCAUUUGCAUCUUUCUCUAUCUUUAUUUAUUUAGUUUUGAUGCUGAAACUUGUGUGGGGAAGCUAGGUCCUCAGGAGAAAACGAUAGCACCGCAGCGAAACCAGCUGAUGAUGAUGAUCUGGUAGAACUGGAGAAGAGUAACAUUCUCCUGAUGGGACCAACUGGCUCAGGUAAAUAUUCUGACCCCAAUCUGCAAAAAUAACACAAACCCCUGAUACGCUGAACAUUGUUGUGAAACUUUAAGUUCAGCUUGUCUCACCUCAUAUGUUUUUGUUGUUUUUUUCUUCAACCAUAGGGAAGACACUACUUGCGAAAACCUUGGCACGGUUUGUGAAUGUUCCUUUUGUCAUUGCUGAUGCAACCACAUUGACUCAGGCUGGUUAUGUGGGAGAGGACGUAGAAUCUAUAUUAUACAAACUUCUCACAGUAAUCUUUCUAAACCCAACCCAUUUUUAUUUGUACAAUACUAUAAUCAAUUUCUUUAUAUUAUUUUGUGAUGAGUGGUUUUGAUCUCUCUCUCUCUCUCUCUCUACAGGUUGCAGAUUAUAAUGUUGCAGCUGCACAGCAGGGGAUUGUUUACAUCGAUGAAGUUGACAAGAUAACAAAGAAGGUUAGAGCUAAAACUUUGUCCUUGUGCUAGUUUGGCAAACUUGAAUAUUAUCUUCCGUGCUUCUUCAAAAAAGUUUGUUUACCUUGGACUUUUUUGGUUGCCAGGCGGAGAGCCUUAACAUAAGCAGAGAUGUAUCAGGAGAGGGUGUUCAACAAGCAUUGCUAAAAAUGCUGGAAGGAACAGUAAGUUUACUAUUUGCCUUGAGAGCUUUGCUAACUAAGAUCUCAAUAAUUAUUUUUGUGGCUUAUACCCAGUUUCUAACUAUCUCUCUUUUUGGAUAUAUAGAUCGUUAAUGUACCGGAGAAGGGCGCUAGGAAGCACCCUAGAGGCGACAAUAUCCAGGUUUUGUUGUGCUCCACUCUACUCUUUAUGUUUUGGCAUGCACAUUGCUAAUAACAUAAGUUAUUCAUAUGGAUGGAGAAUAAGGUCAUAAAGAAAUUUAAAUGAUUAUGGAAAUCUAAUAGCUUCCACAUUCCAGUUUAAUGUUAUUAACUAGAGUUGAUUAAGGUGGCUCGUCUGUUACAUUUAUUUCUUACUCACCUCUUGUCAACUGUGUCUGCAGAUAGACACAAAAGAUAUACUCUUCAUAUGUGGUGGUGCUUUUGUAGACAUCGAGAAGACGAUUUCAGAGAGGUAUGACUAGUGAUCAAAUCCCCAAAAUCCCCUUUUUCUUCUAAUCAAAUAACAUUUGGAAGUCAACUGAAUGUUUCCUUUUUUUCUUAUUCCAGGCGCCAUGAUUCUUCAAUUGGAUUUGGUGCUCCUGUACGUGCUAACAUGAGGGCGGGUGGUGUUACAAAUGCCGCUGUUGCAUCAAACCUGAUGGAAACUGUACGUUUUAUCAUCUCUUCACCCAACAAAUGAUAGUUUGGUCUUUGGCUCAUGUUUAGGGUGGUGUUGGUGUUGGCAGGUGGAAAGCAGUGACCUGAUUGCUUAUGGUUUAAUACCUGAAUUUGUUGGAAGAUUUCCUGUUCUCGUCAGCUUAUCUGCUCUGACUGAGAACCAACUCAUGGAGGUAAUAUUAUCUCAACAUAAAUAUGGUUUUGACACUUGAUGUGAGUCUCGGCAUUACUAAAAAUCAUUUGAUUUGCAGGUCCUUACCGAGCCCAAGAACGCUCUUGGAAAGCAAUACAAAAAGAUGUACCAAAUGAAUAGUGUAACUACUCCUCUCUCUCCUCUCUCCUCUCUCUACUCAAAAUCUUGUCUCUCUUGAGACAAAUCUCUAUAUCUACUCUUUCUUCAGGUAAAGCUGCAUUUUACGGAAACAGCGCUGCGGCUAAUAGCUAGAAAAGCAAUAACGAAAAACACAGGUGCUCGUGGCUUAAGAGCUCUUUUAGAAAGCAUCCUCAUGGAUUCUAUGUACGAGGUAAGUGUUACCUCCUAUAUUUGCUUACAACCCAUGUCAUUAGAUUCACGUUCAGACUCUUAACCAUGUCAUUUUCUCAGAUACCGGACGAGGGUACAGGGAAGGAUAUGAUAGAGGCGGUUGUGGUGGAUGAAGAAGCAGUUGAAGGAGAAGGGCGUAGAGGCUCUGGAGCUAAGAUUCUCCGUGGUAAAGGAGCUUUGUCUCUGUAUCUCUCUGAAACCACCAAAUCCAAGGAUUCUCCUCGGGUACUUUGCAUACCAAUCCCGGUUUUACUUUAAAUAAAUAACAAUAUACACGGUUGGUUUGACAACCCGAGUCUUUUGUGCUAAAUUGUUGCAGACGACCAUGGAGGGAUCAGAAGGAGAAAUUGAGGUGGAGGCAGAGAUUCCCUCCGUUGUCGCCAGUAUGUAAAUGUAUCAUCAAUAACAUACUGGUGAAUGUAUCUCUGUAUGCUUAAUCUUAUCGUUCUAAUAAUGUACAUAAAUGAAAGAAAUAAACAAAGUUGUAUCAGUAAGUUUAAAAAAAGAACAAAAGGAUUGCACAGUUUGCACAUUGAUCAAUGAUGAUGUAACGUUUAUGCAAUAACCUAUCAUUACUCUUUAUUAUCUUGCAUUCAAAACUGAGAAACCUCCUUUGAUUAAAAAUCCGGAUUUAUCAUUCAUGCUUGUACUCUAAAAGUAAAUGUUUCAUUCUGAGCAAAGAGUUAGAAAGAAUAUUCAAAUCAUAAUCUUAUUUAUUUCAUUCAAGAAGAUGCUCUGUCAUAUAAUAAUAAAAUACACUUAAAAAGAAACAUAAAUCUUGACUUUGUUGUAUAUAUAUUAUCUUCCGUAUAUUAGUUACAUACAAGUCCGAGACAGCCUUACUGUGACAACCCAGAGAAGAAGGCCACGCCCGUGGAUGGCAACCACGAUGAACCCCCAAUGAACUGACCCACCGUAAACUUACUUGCCUCGACCGUUGAAGUAAUAACGUGAUAACCGGGCCACUUGACUCGUUGACCCGUACUCGACCCCGGCCCUCGGUUCAUAUACUCACCGUAGUACAAAGAGUCCAACGCAAACGGACCGUUCCAUUCCAACCAUCCUCUCGGGUUAAUGUGGUCGCCCAUAUCCGACAUCAUGUACACAACUCUAGAGUAUAACUUCCACGGACGACCGAGAUACGUCGGAUAACUACCUUUCGAGGCUUCGAGAUCAGCAGUUGCUAGAAGCUUACAAGCGUGGAUCGAGAUCCCCGUGUUUUGGUUCGGGUCUUUCCGGUUCUGAGCCGUGAUGGUGAUUUUCUGCUGAGGCAUUGGUUUACGUGCGUAGAUGUUACAGCUCUGUAAGAUCACAGCUGCGUUUCCGAAUAUGAAAUCGACCGUUCCGUAAAUCUCGCAUUCGCGGAAAAACUGUCGGUUGGAAUGUACGUAGAGCGCGUCUUGGUAUCCGAUAAUGCUGCAACGGUAAACCACCGCGUGGUCUCCGCCGACACGAAGUGCCACGGCCUGGUGCUUCGCCGGUCCAGCGUAGUUCUCGAAGGUUAUGUCUCUCACUAUAAAUCCAGCUCCCGUCGCGGCUAACAUCAAUCAAAUUUAAAAAAUAAUAUAAAAAUUAUAAAUCAUAACCGAAAAAAAAGACAUAAAAGGUAAUUUUGUGUAUUACCGAAAGUGGCCGUGUGAAAAGUAGUGAGGUCAUCGACGAUGCUUUUUCCACCGGUUAUGACAGUUCUACCCUUGCCGUCUCCGAUGAACAUUAAGUUCGUUUUUUUCCUCCCAACCUUGAGAAUUUCUUCUUCGUACUUUCCUGCUUUGACGUAGAUGACGAAUCGACGGCUACUAUGCUCCGGCGCUUUCUUGAUCGCCUCCGCUAUUGUCUUAAACGUUCCGUUACCAUCUUUAGACACCGUGAUAUCCGCCUGAAUCUUCGUCGCCGGAGUACCGAGAAGCUCUCUGUCUCCUCUCUUCAACCAAUUCGGAAACUCCUCUGUUUCUUCCUCCCCAAGCAACUUCCUAUGGUUCACCACCGGAACUCCGCUCAAAUCGUUGACGUUGCCGGAGAAUAUCGCUAGGCAGUUACUCACCAUCUCCGACAAGUCCUUCACCGCUCCGAUCACUUGAUCCUUCACACCUCCUCCGCCGUCUCCGGCUUCGUCGAAUCCCUCCGUGCACGUGUCGUGGUUAGUCAUCGCAGAGCUAAGCCACGUCAUUACAUCGGAGUGAGAUUCAUCUGAGGACGAGGCGGCGACGAUGGAGGAGAGAGCGCGAGAUAGCGCGUCGACUGAGUCGUCGAGCAGCUCGAGACACGAGUCGUAAGCUGAUCGUACACGUGGCGGCAUCUGAGUGUAGGAGAUCGUGGACGAUGAGUAAAGCGCUUUGCUGAAACUCUGAAGCGUCGCGUUGAAAGAGAUGUGGAUGAGCUGUUUCUCGUCGGCGGUUAAAGCUCCCGGAAAGUCGAGAAGCGUGUCGAUGCAGAGGUUCGGGUAUUGGGCUUUGCUACAGGUUUGGGAGAUUUCUCGGGUAGGUUCACGGUUUAGUUUCGGCGCAUGUUGAUCUGAACCUACCGCUCGGAUGCCGGCAAAGAUCCCUAAGCAGACCACUGCGACAACUAGUACUGCUAGCGUGAAGAGAAUCAGCUUCGUCUUCUUAGUUCUCUUCUGUAGCUCCGGGAGUGACGUGGCAGGGUCUUUCUGGUUCGUGUUUGUUGCCGAACCUGAUGGUCCAAGCCUAUCGUAACCCAUACUGCAAUUUGUGUGUGUGUGGGUUUAGAUUGAAAGUUAAGAGUUCUGUUAACGGAACAAAGAUGAUGUGGAAGUGGCUCUAUAAAUAUUAUUAUAGAUAUAACUAUUGAAGCAUUAAAAUGAUAUGCGUUAUUAUUAUAAACUUAUAAAAUUAUAUAAACACACACAUAUAAUUUGGGUGUCUUUAUUGAAAUGUAUGCCUGAUAGCUGUAAUAUUUGUCGAUGUCUCUAACAGUAAGUAUAUAUAGUGAAAAAGAAGUAUAUAUAGUCAUGUGUAUUAGUAAUAGAUGUUUACAUUUAUUUGUACGAGUGUUACUUGAGGGUAAUGCUCUAUAAAUCAUUUCGUGUCAACGACCCAUUAUAGCGAUUACCUUAUAAGAGGAUAGUAGAAGUCAGAUUACGAUGACAGUUGGUGUUUCUGAAAUGUUAUUUUUAUGUCACUACAGCGAUAAAAGUUAGAAUCUUAUGUGAGUAACCCAAUCCAAACCCACUCAAAGACAGUCUCAGGCCUACCUAGAAAGCCCAAUCAAAAGAAACAUGCGGAGACAAAGAACAUGCUUUCUGUAUCUGCAAUUACAAACAUUAGAGACGACAAGAGGACAAUUGAGCUCAAUAACAGAUUUAAUACCCUACAGUCUGUCAAAGAUGACUAGACUACUUUACAGCUACAAAAGGGAUUAGAUCUAGAUUGUUCUCUUAGCUCUAUAUAAACCUAUUGUAUAGCUCAUUGUAAACUUAUCCAAAAUAGAAGUAAAGUUAUGGUAUCAGAGCCAUUGAUACCUUAACAGGUGAAAUCAAUGGCAGAUCCUCCGCGCACAUAUCCGUUCCCAAGCAAUGUCCACAUCCUAAGCUGCGUUACGUUGAAGCUCACAUAUAACAAUUACUUGCUUUGGAAGACACAGUUUGAGUCUCUCCUCUCCAGCCAGAAACUCCUUGGUUUCGUCAAUGGUGCGACUGUCCCUCCACCAACCACUCACUCUGUCAACACAGACAACACUCCCGGUAAAGAACCAAACCCUAAAUACGAUGAUUGGGUUUGCUCUGACCAGCUCGUUAGGUCAUGGUUGUUUGGUACUUUGUCUGAGGAAGUCCUCGGCUCUGUUCAUACCCUGUCCACUUCACGCGAAGUGUGGCUCUCCCUUGCUGAAAACUUCAACAAAAGCUCCUUGUCCAGAGAGUUCUCCUUGCGUCGGAGUCUUCAGCUUAUCAGCAAGAAGGACAAGAGUCUAUCAGUGUACUGUCGUGAGUUCAAGAAAAUCUAUGACUCUCUCAGUGCUAUAGGGAAACCCAUCGACGAGUCCAUGAAGAUCUUUGGGUUCCUCAAUGGUCUCACUCGAGAGUACGACCCCAUUGCCACAGUCAUUCAAAGCUCUCUCACGAAGUUCCCUGCUCCUACAUUCAAUGACGUUGUGUCAGAGGUUCAAGGCUAUGACGUCAAGCUACAGUCGUAUGAAGAGACACCUACGGUAACUCCUCAUGCCGCAUUCCAGCUUCAGCAGAACAAUGCUCCAAGCUACAACCAAACUCGAGGUCGUGGUCGUGGCUUCUAUCAGAAUUGUGGCAGAGGAGGUUACUCGAAUCGUGGGAGGGGUUACUCGCAGCAUCAGAGCACCUCUAACACAUCAGGCACAAGGCCAACGUGUCAGAUCUGCGGAGGGGUUGACCACACUGCGCUGAAAUGCUACAAUCGGUUCGAUAACAACUAUCAGGCUUCUGAUGUUACUCAAGCUUUCAAUGCCCUUCAGAUGACUGAUGAAAACGGCAGAGACUGGUACCCUGACUCAGGUGCCUCAGCACAUGUCACUGCUAGCACGAACUCGCUGCAAACAAUCACUCCGUAUGCAGGCAAUGACACCAUCAUGGUCGCUGACGGCACAUACCUCCCAAUCACUCACGUUGGCGUUGCUUCCCUUGCAUUACCGUUAGGUAGCAUUCCCCUCAAUGAAGUCCGUGUGUGUCCUGACAUAAAACAAUCACUCUUAUCAGUCUCUAAACUCUGUGAUGACUACCCGUGUGGGGUGUUCUUUGAUGCUAAACAAGUUUGUGUUAUUGAUGUCACCACUCAGAAGGUGGUAACAAAGGGAAUCAGACGUAAAGGAUUAUAUGUGUUGGAGAAUCCGAACCUUGUUGCUCUAUACUCAAACCGCCAGCGAGAAGCACCUGAAAGCGUUUGGCAUCAUCGGUUAGGGCACGCAAAUUACAAGAUUCUUCGACACCUACAACACAGCAAGGAGAUAACAGUCAAUAAGAGCAGAUCCAACCUCAUUUGUGAGCCUUGCCAGAUGGGAAAAAUUUCAAGACUUCAGUUUUUACCUUCUAGUUCUGUGGUGUUACAACCCUUAGAAAGAGUUCAUUGUGAUCUUUGGGGAGCUUCACCUGUAGUAUCCAACCAGGGAUUCAAGUAUUAUGAUGUCUUUGUGGAUGCUUAUUCCCGCUUUUCUUGGUUCUACCCUUUGAGAAAUAAAUCAGAAUUCUAUUCAGUUUUCAUUUCAUUUUACAAAAUGGUAGAGAAUCAGCUAUCAACAAAGCUCAAGUCGUUUCAAAGUGAUGAGGGUGCUGAAUUUGUAAACAAAAACCUUAGUGAUUACCUUGCUCAGAAUGGCAUUAGGCACUUGAUCAGCUGUCCUCACACGCCGGAGCAGAACGGUACUGCAGAGCGCAAGCAUCGUCACUUAGUGGAACUUAGUCUCUCCAUGAUGUAUCAUAGUCAUGUUCCUCUCAGCUACUUGGUGGAGGCCUUUAACACAUCUAAUGUGAUCUCCAACAUGCUGCCCUCUUCAUCCCUGCAAAACAAGAGUCCGAAUGAAGUGUUGCUGAAACAAAAGCAGACUACACUAUGUUGAGAGCAUUUGGUGCAGCUUGCUUUCCUUACCUAAGACCGAUGGCAGCACACAAGCUUGAACCGAGAUCACUUCAAUGUGUGUUCAUUGGGUACAGUCCACAUCACAAGGGAUACAUAAGUCUCUACCCACUCACAGGAAAAGACUAUAUCUCCAGACACGUCGUCUUCGAUGAAGAAUGCUUUCCCUUCAAAGAUACGUACAAGUGUCAAGUGCCAGUCUAUGACACACCGUUAUUGAAAGCAUGGCAAACGCCAUUCCCUACAUCACCACCAUGUUCUCAACCUCAAACACAGGUGACAAGAUUACUGCCCACCGCAACCCGUCACUGAUAAACCACCUGUAGCUCCAGCUCCAGAGACUACACCAGAACCAGCUCCUCCGUAACUGAAGUAGCUCAUGCAGCUGAAGCUGCACCUGUUCAACAACAAAAUCAAGAUGUUAAUCAACAUCCAAUGACGACACGAGCAAAGGCUGGAAUUCACAAACCUAGCACGCGAUAUGUGCUCAUGGCACCUCGUCACAACAUCCAAGAACCAAAAAAUAUUGAUGAAGCCAUGAAGCACCCAGGUUGGAAUCAAGCAGUGAUGACUGAGAUCACAAAUGUGCACGUCCUUCACACGUGGGAUCUGGUACCUGCAACAGAUGACAUGAAUGUAUUGAGCAGUCGGUGGUUGUAUAAGAUUAAACUCAAUCCAGAUGGUACAAUAGAUAAACUGAAGGUCGGAUUGGUAGCUAGAGGAAAUGAGCAAGAGGAAGGAUGGGACUACCUGGAAACGUUCAGUCCAGUUGUAAGAACAACUACAAUACGUCUUGUCUUGAAGAUUGCAGUAGCAAAAGGGUGGCAAAUCCAUCAGAUGGAUGUCUCCAACGCCUUUCUACACGGCGAGCUCGAUGAACCUGUCUACAUGACCCAACCUCAAGGCUUUGUUGAUCCAGAAAAACCCACGCAAGUAUGUAAACUGUCCAAAGCCCUUUAUGGCUUGAAACAGGCAACGAGGGCGUGGUUCAACACAUUCAGCAACUUUCUGAUUGAUUUUGGGUUCACAUGUACCAAGUCAGAUCCUUCGCUCUUCACACUUCACGCAAAAGACAAGACUGUGAUACUACUGCUCUAUGUUGAUGACAUCCUAUUGACUGGCAAUGAUGACACUCUGGUUCAAGCUCUGCUGCGAGCCCUCCACAACAGGUUCACAAAGGAAGACCUUGGUAAACCUCGCUACUUCCUUGGUAUUAAAAUCGAGUCCUUACAAGACUCGCUGUUUCUUCACCAAAAGGCAUAUGUUGAGGACAUUCUGUAUCAAGCUGCCAUGUCUACAUGUAACCCCACGCCCACUCCUCUUCCUCAGAGAAUCGACAACCCCAACACUGAACUCUUCUCAGAGCCUACAUACUUCAGGAGCCUCGCUGGCAAACUUCAUUACCUCACUAUUACGAGACCUGAAAUACAGUACGCGGUCAACUACGUCUGCCAACAGAUGCACGCUCCUACCAUGGGUGAUUCUGGCCUUCUGAAGAGAAUUCUCCGCUACAUCAAAGACACUAUCAUUCUCGGAGUUCAGAUACACAAAGACAAGGAUCUAGUGCUAAUGGGGUAUAGCGACAGCGACUGGGCCGGCUGCAAAGAAACGAGACGGUCCACAACUGGAUUCUGCAUUCUCCUUGGUUCCAACCUCAUCUCCUGGUCUGCUAAAAGGCAGCCAACAGUUGCGAAAUCCUCAACAGGAGCCGAAUACAGAGCUCUUACGGCAGCAGCUCAGGAACUGAAAUGGAUCUCAACACUUGUCAAAGACCUCAACAUCCCUCAAUUCAGCCCGACGAUUCUUCACUGCGACCAUCUAUCUGCAGUUUAUCUCAGCGCAAACCCCGCGAUGCACAACAGAUCGAAGCAUUUCGAUACUGACUUUCAUUAUAUUCGCGAGCAAGUAGGAUUGGAUCUGAUUGAAACUCAACACAUCCCUGCCUCGCUUCAGCCGCUGGCAAGAGGACCGUUUGUUGAUCUGCGAGUCAAACUCGGUGUCGCUGAGCCACCUACCCCGAGUUUGAGGGAAUUUGUAAACAAAAACCUUAGUGAUUACCUUGCUCAGAAUGGCAUUAGGCACUUGAUCAGCUGUCCUCACACGCCGGAGCAGAACGGUACUGCAGAGCGCAAGCAUCGUCACUUAGUGGAACUUAGUCGAAUCCAAGCCCACUCAAAGACAAUCUCAGGCCCACCUACGAAGCCCAAUCAGAAGAAACAUGUGGAGACAAAGAACAUGCCUUCUGUACCUGCGAUUACAAACGUUAGAGACGACAAGAGGAAAAUUGAGCUCAAUAACAGAUUUGAUACUCUACAGUCUGUCAAAGAUGGCUAGACUACUUUACAGCUAUAACGGGAAUUAGAUCUAGAUUGUUCUCUUAGCUCUAUCUAAACCUAUUGUAUAGCUCAUUGUAAACUUAUCCAAAAUAGAAGUAAAAUUGUGUUCUCGUCAAGUGUUCUUACCUUUCAUAUCUUAUACCUUACCAAUUCACUAUAGUGCUUUUCUCAAUAGUGGAUAACAUUUUUUGUUACUCUCAACGAGCUUCGGUGUCGGUGCUUCUCCGGCUCUUUCCUUAUCACGUUUUUUUAACUGUAUAAACCAAUCGAGAUUACAAAAAUUGACUAUACGAUUACGGAAACAAACCAUUUAUUAUUUAGAAAUAAUUCAGCAGCUUAUAGUUUAUUAGGUUUAGCGUUUUUAGCUAUUGACUAUUGUAUUUCACAUCAACGAAACAAAAAAUAUCAUUAAUAGAAUUUCGCAUAUACAGAUUUAUCUCUGUUCCAUUGAACAUAAACAGUUGAUAUGAUUCAUAAUAGAUAGUAUAUUAUAAUUCUAAAUAAUACUUUUUGUUUUCAUGUAUAUUGUACCUACAAAGAGACAUUACGUUAUUCUAUUGAAACCAAGACUUGCGAUUGUAACUCAACAACCAAGAACUCAAACUCUUUAUUAAUAUCUCAAAGCUUUAGAAACAAUUCUCAAAAACUAAAGCUCUCAACCCACACUUUCUAUCACAAGAUUAUCAUCCCCUUAUAUAUCUCAUAUAUUUCCUAAACUCAUUAGAAAACAUAUUUUGUAGAUAACUCUCAAUCUUUACUAAUCCUAAUCUCAUUAGGAUAACUUCUAACUCAAGUUAACUAACUACAAGCUUAGGUCAACAUACUUCCCCUUAAGCUUGUAGUUAUCAUUUUUCACUUCUUGAACUCCAAUGAGAUCUCUCAUCUCCUUGAAUUUGAUUCUCCCAAGCGGUUUGGUUAAUAUGUCGGCUUUCUGUUUGUUCCCAGCAACAUGUUCGACGUCUACUAGCCCAUCUUCGACGCAUUCUCUAAUGAAAUGAAACCUUCUGUGAAUAUGCUUGCUGCGUCCAUGGAAUACUGGAUUUUUUGUCAGUGCAAUGGCUGAUUUAUUAUCAAUAAAAAUGACUGCUUUCUCAAUCUCAUCUUCUGUAAUCUCUCUGAGAAGUUCCUGCAACCAUAUCGCUUGCUUAGCUGUCUCUGUGGCUGCCAUGAACUCUGCUUCACAACUGGACAGUGCAACAAUCUCUUGUUUUUGUGAACACCAAGUAACUGGACUGUUGUUGAGGUAGAAGAUAUGGCCUGUCGUACUCUUACCAUCAUCCUGGUCAACGUUGUAGCUACUGUCUCUGUAGCCCACAAGCUCUUUUCCUCCAUCAUUCUUGUAGUAGAGGCCGAGUGAGCACGUUCCCUUAAGAUAGCGUAGGACUUGCUUCAACGCAGCUCCAUGUGAUACCCUCGGGUCAUGCAUAUAGCGACUCAAGACACCAACACACUGCGCCAGAUACCUCAAGCAUCCGAUAUUCCUUCUGAACUCCCUUUCGUUGAUCGUUUCUUCCUGUGGUGCUUUAGACAACUUUAACCCAGCAUCCAUUGGUAUAUGAACAUGAAUACACUCACCCAUUCCACCUUCCUCUAGUAUCUUAGUUGCAUAUCUUUCUUGCUUCAAGAUCACUCCAUCUCUGGUUUGGAUUACUUCGAUACCAAGAUAGCAGUGAAGAAGUCCGAGAUCACUCAUCUCAAACUUGGCUGACAUCUCCUUUUUGAACUCUUGUAUAUCAUCUAUAUUUGAUCCCGUGAUGAGUAAAUCAUCGACAUAAACUGCUACAAGAAGACGAGACCCCUUCGUUUUCCUUUUGAACAAUGAUGGCUCCUUUGAACACUUAUUGAAACCGAGCUCCUUGAGAAUCUGAUUAAGCUUGAUAUUGCAAGCCCUUGGUGCUUGUUUUAUACCAUAGAGAGCUUUAUGGAGCUUGAAUACUUUACUCUCAUUGCCUUUGAGCUUAAAACCUUAAGGUUGCAUCACGAAUACUUCUUCCUUUAGCUCGCCGUGAAGGAAGGCAGUCUUCACAUCGAGGUGGUGGAUUUCCCAAUUAUUGGACGCAGCUAGUGCCAAUAGAACACACACAAUCUCUAACCUUGCUACAGGCGCGAAUACUUCCUCAUAAUCGAUUCCCUCACGCUGCACAUAACCCUUGGCAACAAGCCUAGCCUUGUGUUUGUUUACACUUCCAUCAGCAUUGCGUUUCAACUUGAACACCCACUUUAGUCCUAUUGCCUUGCAACCAACCGGCAUAUCAAUCAACGUCCAUGUUCUGUUUUUCUUUAUAGACUCAAUUUCUUCCUCACAAGCGUUUCUCCAAACUUUCAUAUCUUUUGCCUCAUUCCAAUCCCACGGUUCUUCAUUUAUCAUAAGAAGAAUGCGUUAUGUCUCAAGUUCUUCUGAUAGCAUAACGUAAUCAUCCAAAUAACUUGGCUUCUUGCUCUCCCUCAUAGAGCGUCUCAAGACCGGAUGUGCUUCUGCAUCAGUAGUGUCCUCUGUUUCACUAUUAGCGUCACCAUCCUCGUCACUUUCUCCAUCGUCUUUGAUCUCGAGAGGGACACCACUUUGAUCACUAUUAUAAUAACUAGGAAGAGUGAUCAUCCCGGUUCACUUAUCUCCUUCUCAGUAGAAUUCCACUUCCAGCUUUUGUGUUCUUCAAAGAUGACGUCUCUACUUACUACAAUUCUUCGACUUGUUGGAUCAUAGAGUCGAUAGGCCUUAGAUCCUGGUUCAAUACCCAGAUGAACCAAAUUUUGUGAUCUGUCAUCUAACUUCUUGAGAUGUGGUGUCUCCCUUUUAGCGUGACAUACGCAGCCAAAAACCCGUAAGUGCUCAACGUGUGGCUUCUUUCCUUUGAAGAUCUCGUAUGGUGUUUGCUGUUUCAAGGUUCAUAUCCCCACACGGUUGAUGAGAUACGUAGAGUGUCCCACUGCUUCUACCCACAUGUAGUUCGGCACGUUCAUAUGUUUCAUAAUACUUCUAGUCAUCUCCAUUAAUGUUCGGUUCCGUCUUUCCACAACUCCGUUCUGUUACAGCGAGUUUGGAGCAGUUAGAUGGCGUUUUACUCCAUGAUCAUCACAGAAAGCUUGAAAUUCUCUAGACGUGAACUCACCACCUCUGUCUGUUAAACGUCUUGAUAACGUUUCCUGUCUCUUGCUCGACCAUCUUUUUGAACUUCUUAAAUUUCUCAAAAGCCUCACUCUUCUCUCUCAGUAGAAUCGACCACAUGUAACGUGUAUGAUCAUCAAUUAACACAAAUAUAUACAUGUUACUUGCCGCUGUUGAAGGUGAUAUUGGUCCGCAGAGAUCUCCACGAAUGAGUUCUAAGGCGUGAUCAGCACAGUAAGUCGUUGCCUUUGGAAAGCUCUGUCUCACUUGUUUUCCCAAUAGGCACGAUGAACAAGGUUCUUUAUCAAUCGCAAUGUUAGGUAUGCCAGUAACCAUCUCUUUACUCAUAAUAGACUUUAUGGUUUCAAAUGCAACAUGUCCAAGUCUUACAUGCCAAACAGCGGAAUCACCAAGUUUUGUAAGUUGUAAGCACUUUGUGUUGUCAACCUCCAUUGUUACCUUAUACAGACGGUUUUUGGACCUGCUUGCUUUGACCAGUAUGUUGCCAUCACGAUCGUAUAGUAUGAGAUAAUCCUCUUUCAUUCUAAUAUCACACCCGAACUCAGUAACUUGGCCAAGACUAAUGAUAUUACUCCGUAACUCUGGUAUGUAGUAUACAUCCGCCAAGAUCUUCCGUUUUUCAUCUUUGGUUAUGAAAAGAAUUGAACUUUUUCCUUUAAUAUCUAUACGGGAGUCAUCACCAAAUCUAACUUUCCCUGUCAUUUUCUCAUCAAGUCUCGAAAAAUAAUCACGGUUUCCGAUCAUAAGAUUACUAACUCCAUUAUCAAGGUACCAGACAUUAUCUCCAUAUGCGGUUUCGAACUUACUAGGUAUCACCUUUCCUUUGUUGAGAUACACCACUUCAUUCAUCAUCAACUCCUCUGCUUCAUGCGUGCUAUCAUUCUCAUUCUCUUGCGUUUCUUGUAGUUUAAGUAGACGAUCAAGACAAUCAUAGACAUAGUGUACCUGUCUUAUCACACCGGUAACAAACUACUCUAGAUGCAUCUCUCCCUUGUGUCCAAUUACGUUGGCCGUUGUUGCGUCCUCUUCCUCUGUAUCCAGACCGACCUCUACGUCCUCUUCCUCUGCUAUAGUUAUCAGAACCGGUGUGAGAAUUUCCUCUACCAUAGCUUUCUUGUUGUGGUUGAGAAUCCAUAUUAGCAUACAUGAGUUUCCCAUGAUCCUCCUGCUGGUCUUCAAUUUGGAUUCGUUCUUUAUAAGCUUUCAACCGUCCAACAAUAUCCUCAAAGGUCGUUAAAUUUAGAUUAAGAACUUGUUCAAGUGCAACAAUGAUGUGAAUAUAUUUUGCACGAGGAAGACUGUUUAGAAACUUCUUCACAAGCUUAAAUUCUUCAAUAUCCUCUCCCAAAGCUGAUGACUCAGACGAUAUCUUUGCAAGUUUGCCUGAGAAAUCAUCUAUGGUACCUGUAUCCCUCAUCUUCAUCCGACUGAAUUCAUCCAUUAAGGUCUGUAAACGAGCUUCCCGAACUCUAUCUGCUCCCACAUGUCUUGCUUUAACUGCUUCCCACAGUUCUUUAGAUGUCUCCAAGUUUCCGACUUGUAUAAUAAGAGAUUCAUGUAUUGAUUGGAACAAAAGAGCUCUGGCCAGAUCAUUCUUGUCUGCAUCACCUUGACCUGGUUCAAUAGUUUCCCAAGCUUUAUGCACUUUCAGAGCGACCUUCAUUCUCAUGCUCCAGACCGUGUAAUUUGUAGUUGUAAGCAUCGGACAUUGAAUUGUCAAACAGCUACUUUCCUUAGGUUUUGUAGUAGUAACGGUUAAAUCACCCAUCGCUCUUGUCUUCUCUUCUUUCCAUAGGUGUUGAUUUCAAUAUUAAGCUAUUAUACCACAUAUUGAAACCAAGACUUGUGAUUGUAACUCAACAACCAAUAACUCAAACUGAAACUCUUUUUUAAUAUCUCAAAGCUUUAAAAACAAUUCUCAAAAACUAAAGCUCUCAACACACACUUUCUAUCACAAGAUUAUCAUCCCGUUAUAUAUCUCAUUUAUUUUCCUAAACUCAUUAGUAAAUAUAUCUUGUAGAUAACUAUUAAUCUUUACUAAUCCUAACCUCAUUAGGAUAACUUAUAACUCAAGUUAACUAACUACAAGCUUAGGUCAACAUAUUGAACAUGACAAUAUCUAUUUAUACAUCUUGUUCGGGUCAAAUCGAUUUUGGUUCUGUUGAGCAGUGCGUACUCUGAUAGACUAAUAACAUGUAAAGUUUUAUUGAGUUUCUAACUUCGAACUGUUUGGCGAUAUAUAAAUUGAUAUGUUUCCUAUAUAUUACUUAUGUAUCAUCAAAAUGUAGGAAUUUAUAUUCUCACACGUUCUUUGAAAUAAUGAUAUGUAUAAUCAUUAAUUUCGAAAAUAUCUUAGUCUAGGAUUCAGAUCUUGUCAGAUCGGGUAGACAAUUUUGGAUCAGAUCGGACCGUUUUCCAUGGGUUGGAUCGAUUUCAAUUCGAUUGGAUAUCGUGUAUCUUUAUACACACAUAUAUAUAUAUAUAUAUAUAUAUAUAUAUAUAACACAUAUUAUAUAUAUACGGAUUACCAAUUUCAUCAAAUUUAAUCUGGUUUUAGCAAUUUCAGUCUAGUGAAAAUCCAAAUUUACAAUAUAUAUGUGUGUAUAUAUAUAUAUAUAUAUAUAUAUCCUGUUCACAGCAAUAUAUUAUUAUAUAUACUGUACUGUACAAAAGCAAAGCAUUGAUAAUACACACACGUGUAUAUAUACUGUACAAAAUACAAUGAGUAUUGGUAGAAAAGUGAACCUUUGAUGGGGACAAAUCGACAUCGUCCACCAACAAGAGUCCCCAUAGAAUUUAAACGGAAUAGUCAAUGAAAUAGACUCCUACGUACCAAUAAUACCCACACCAAAACCAAAAAAAUGUUAAAAAGACCUACAUACCUAGUCAUGUCCAUUAACAUUUACGUAUAACAUAUGCAAAAGUGAAGAACUUAAUAGUUUUGAAUCUUAUCCGCUUGUGGCCCUGAUUCAAUCUUUUCUAACAAUCGGUUUAAUGCUCCAGUUAAGGGAUGCAAUUCGUAUACUAUCGGUUACUACGUGUAUUGGAACACAAUGCUCCGAAGUGGUUCCUAGCAUAUUAUAUAUCUUAUGCAUCCCAUUUCUGUAAAAAAAAGUUACUAGAAUAUCAUAGAAAAAUUGGUUUAUUACUAGAGUAUUAUACAUCUUUUAAAAAUUAUUAGAAUGUUUGAAUAUCCCUAAUAAAUGAUAAUAAGGGCAUUUGGUUAGUAUUUUUUAAUUAAAAUUAUUUUUAAACAUUAAAUCCACAUCACUAAUUAAGUAUCCACAUCAGCAAUAGUGAACAAUCAACCAUCUCUUUAAUUACAUAACGUUGAAAAAAAAACACAACAACACAGCACAACUUCGUCGAAUAACUAAAGGAACCCUAACCGCUUUUUCCCUGAAAUCGUCAUCGAAAUUUUGUUUACUCCCUCUUCCUCGAACUAACUCUCUGUCUUGUCUUCUCCGAUAUCGUCUUUCCCGAAAUCAUCGUUUCCAAUCGUUUUUACAUAAUAGUUUUUGCUGCAAUCGCUGCGUUUUUCGAGUUUGUGGCUGAGUUUUAAUUUAUGUUAUGGCUGAGUUACUUUUCUUUUACGGUUGGUUUAUAUAUGCAGUUGUGGUUGAGUUACUUCCCACCAAUCUCUGAAAACCUGGCUAUAAGAAUUGUGCAUUCCGAGGAGAAAAGACAAAUACAUUCCAAAAAAACACCCAGGUCGGCAAUUGUGAGAUGUAUUUAAUUAAGUUUGUUUGUGAUUUCAUAACCAUAUUUGGAUAAUCUAUUUUUUUUUCAGAUCUAAGUGAAAGAGAAAAUUGAACAAAAAGAGAAUGAAGGAGACGAAAAGAAGUGACGGAUUCAGCAGAGACGGCACAGAGGAGUUCAUUGAAGCUUAGAUACAUGGACGAGUACUGGAAUGGUGCAGAAAACCUGUAUUUUUGGUUUUCUAUGUAAAAAACAUAACUCACCCAUGUAUGUUGUGUUUGAUUUAUGCUAUGUUUACACUACUCAGCCGUGUCGUUUAUAUAUCUCAGCCGUGUCGUUUACAUAACUCAGUCAUACCUCAAACAUACCGUAAAAUCAGAAAAUGUUUAGAUAACUCAGUCGUAUCGCUUAGAUAACUCAGCCGUAUCGUUUAUAUAAAUCAUCAAUACCUCAAACAUACCCUAAAAUCGGAAAACUGAAUUCAAGUACUUUAGCUUUAUCAAUAUCAAGUGAUUAUAAAUCAACUGAAUGUGUAUAGUUUCUUGAAGUUGAUACUUUAACUUGAUCUUGAGAUAUAUGUUCUCUGACAAUCACUUAUACAAUUCUUACUUACAAGACUCUAACUUUAAUAUUUUCUUAAAUCUAAACCUCAAAUCCUAAACUAUAGAAUCAUAAAGUUAUAAAAAUUAUAAAGUUUAUUUUUAAAUGGCAAUUGUGAGAUGUAUUUAAUUAAGUUUGUUUGUGAUUUCAUAACCAUAUUUGGAUAAUCUAUUUUUUUUUCAGAUCUAAGUGAAAGAGAAAAUUGAACAAAAAGAGAAUGAAGGAGACGAAAAGAAGUGACGGAUUCAGCAGAGACGGCACAGAGGAGUUCAUUGAAGCUUAGAUACAUGGACGAGUACUGGAAUGGUGCAGAAAACCUGUAUUUUUGGUUUUCUAUGUAAAAAACAUAACUCACCCAUGUAUGUUGUGUUUGAUUUAUGCUAUGUUUACACUACUCAGCCGUGUCGUUUAUAUAUCUCAGCCGUGUCGUUUACAUAACUCAGUCAUACCUCAAACAUACCGUAAAAUCAGAAAAUGUUUAGAUAACUCAGUCGUAUCGCUUAGAUAACUCAGCCGUAUCGUUUAUAUAAAUCAUCAAUACCUCAAACAUACCCUAAAAUCGGAAAACUGAAUUCAAGUACUUUAGCUUUAUCAAUAUCAAGUGAUUAUAAAUCAACUGAAUGUGUAUAGUUUCUUGAAGUUGAUACUUUAACUUGAUCUUGAGAUAUAUGUUCUCUGACAAUCACUUAUACAAUUCUUACUUACAAGACUCUAACUUUAAUAUUUUCUUAAAUCUAAACCUCAAAUCCUAAACUAUAGAAUCAUAAAGUUAUAAAAAUUAUAAAGUUUAUUUUUAAAUAUUAAAUCCGAUAUAUUUUUAUUAUUUAAAGUUUAAGGUUUAGGUUUAUAGUUUAGAGCUAAACUCAAAUUUUAAUCAUUUAAAAAAAUCUUUAAUUUAAAAUUCUAUUUUAAAUUUUGAUUUAAACCCGUAACUAUAUUCUUCAAAUUUAAGCAAUUUUUUUAAAAAAAUUGAAAAGAACUAAAAUCGAAAUUUUUUGAUUUAUGCUAUGUUUACACUACUCAGCCGUGUCGUUUAUAUAUCUCAGCCGUGUCGUUUACAUAACUCAGUCAUACCUCAAACAUACCGUAAAAUCAGAAAAUGUUUAGAUAACUCAGUCGUAUCGCUUAGAUAACUCAGCCGUAUCGUUUAUAUAAAUCAUCAAUACCUCAAACAUACCCUAAAAUCGGAAAACUGAAUUCAAGUACUUUAGCUUUAUCAAUAUCAAGUGAUUGGUCUUCGCCGUCGUCACGGAUAUUGAGCUCGUCAACGUCGCCAUCUAUACUCGCCGAUGUCAUCCUUGUUGCCGUUUCUCAGAUCCAUCUUCGCCGGUCUCCAUCUUCACCGUAGUCGCCACCAACACCGCUUGUCACCACACUGGUCACCUCUCUCUCUUUCAAUCUCUCUCGCUCUUUCUCUGUGUCUUGAAUUUGUUCUUGUUACUGGAAGGUGGACAAGGCAGAGGAGCUUGGUGGUGUAGGAGGUAACAAAACCGUUUCAAAACAUUAUCUCAAACCAUAUCUAUUUCGAACCUUUAACCUUAAACCACAUGCUUUGACCUAUAUCAUAUAACAUUAAACUUCAAACUUUUAAAAAAAUUAAUUAAUCAUAUACCAUAAAUUCUAACUACAAACAUUAAAACUUUAAUAUUUUUGUUAUUUAAAAAUAUAAUCUUAAAUGUGAAAUCGAAACCCAAAACACUGUAUACCAAAUCCUAAACUCACUCAAUUAUAUACCCUAAACUUAAACUUCAUAUUUAAACCACACAUAAAAAAAUCAACAUAAUAAAAUCCAAGUUUUAAAAUUUAAAACUUUUUCAAAAAUAAAGUUUAAUAUAAAAUAUAAUUUUAACCAUCAAAAUUAAAACAUUAACCAUUAAUUGUUCUAAUCUAAGGGCUACAAAUCUAUCUUGGGGUUAUCUUCUAACUUCUUUCUCAUUGGUUAGUUUUUUUAGUACCAGGAUUACAAUUCUUGACCAUUGAUUAGUUUUGAUCUAAUGGUCUAAAAUGUUUUUUUUCUUCACUUUCUCUCUUCUACUUGCCGUCUCCUUCUCCUCUUUUCUUUCCUUCGGGAGUUCUUCACAGUCCCAGAUCUUCUUCAUCUCUCUCACUUUCUGUCUUGUAAACAAGAGAGAUUCAUACAUCAUCAUUCAUUUCUUAUACCUUAGUAUAUUUGGUUUGUAAAUCUUAGAAGUGAGAGAAGAAGAAACGUCAAAGAAGAAGAGAAGAUUCCUGGAGAAGAAUAAAAAGUGUUGAAGAAGACUGGUCUUCGCCGUCGUCACGGAUAUUGAGCUCGUCAACGUCGCCAUCUAUACUCGCCGAUGUCAUCCUUGUUGCCGUUUCUCAGAUCCAUCUUCGCCGGUCUCCAUCUUCACCGUAGUCGCCACCAACACCGCUUGUCACCACACUGGUCACCUCUCUCUCUUUCAAUCUCUCUCGCUCUUUCUCUGUGUCUUGAAUUUGUUCUUGUUACUGGAAGGUGGACAAGGCAUAGGAGCUUGGUGGUGGAGGAGGUAACAAAACCGUUGUGUGACUUGAAGACGUCAGAGCUCUCGUGGUAACGGGACUGCGGUGGCGAAGGAAGAAGACAAUAAUGACCUUGCGGCCUCGUGAUGUGGAAGAAACACACGGUGAUUUAGUUAGGUUUAGAUUUUGUUGACGACGGCUGCAAGCUUUUUUGUUUCUAGGUUUUAGAUUAGGGUUGGUUUAGAAUUAAACUCAGCCGUAACGUAUGCAUAACUCAGCUGUAAAGUAUGCAUAAUUCAACUGUAAUGUAUCUGAAUGGUAUAAGUCAGCCCUAUAAGUCAGCCGUCAAGUGUAAUUUUUUUUUACGACGUUUCAUAUUUUGGGCGGGAACAAAAUCUUUCCUUCAACUCUGAAAUCGUCUCCGCAAGCGUCUUGUCCCAAAUCAUCGUAUCGUUUAUAUAACUCAGCCAUGUCGUUUAGAUAACUCAGCCGUAUCGUUUAUAUAACUCAGUUGUGUCAUUUAGAUAACUCAGCCAUAUCCCAAACAUACCCUAAAAUCAAAAAACUGAAUUCAAGUACUUUAAAAAGUUAUAUUAAAGAUCAUCUUAUCAAUAUCAUGUGAAUAUACAUCAACUGAAUGUGUAUAGUUUCUUGAAUUUUCAAUGAAGAAGACUGGUCUUCGCCGUCGUCACGGAUAUUGAGCUCGUCAACGUCGCCAUCUAUACUCGCCGAUGUCAUCCUUGUUGCCGUUUCUCAGAUCCAUCUUCGCCGGUCUCCAUCUUCACCGUAGUCGCCACCAACACCGCUUGUCACCACACUGGUCACCUCUCUCUCUUUCAAUCUCUCUCGCUCUUUCUCUGUGUCUUGAAUUUGUUCUUGUUACUGGAAGGUGGACAAGGCAGAGGAGCUUGGUGGUGUAGGAGGUAACAAAACCGUUGUGUGACUUGAAGACGUCAGAGCUCUCGUGGUAACGGGACUGCGGUGGCGAAGGAAGAAGACAAUAAUGACCUUGCGGCCUCGUGAUGUGGAAGAAACACACGGUGAUUUAGUUAGGUUUAGAUUUUGUUGACGACGGCUGCAAGCUUUUUUGUUUCUAGGUUUUAGAUUAGGGUUGGUUUAGAAUUAAACUCAGCCGUAACGUAUGCAUAACUCAGCUGUAAAGUAUGCAUAAUUCAACUGUAAUGUAUCUGAAUGGUAUAAGUCAGCCCUAUAAGUCAGCCGUCAAGUGUAAUUUUUUUUUACGACGUUUCAUAUUUUGGGCGGGAACAAAAUCUUUCCUUCAACUCUGAAAUCGUCUCCGCAAGCGUCUUGUCCCAAAUCAUCGUAUCGUUUAUAUAACUCAGCCAUGUCGUUUAGAUAACUCAGCCGUAUCGUUUAUAUAACUCAGUUGUGUCAUUUAGAUAACUCAGCCAUAUCCCAAACAUACCCUAAAAUCAAAAAACUGAAUUCAAGUACUUUAAAAAGUUAUAUUAAAGAUCAUCUUAUCAAUAUCAUGUGAAUAUACAUCAACUGAAUGUGUAUAGUUUCUUGAAUUUUCAAUUUGAGACUUUAAUUUGAUCUUGAGAUAUAUGUUCUCUUACAAUCACUUAUACAAAUAUACCCUAAACUCAAAUUGAGUUGAUAUAUGUUCACUUAUAUAUGUUCUCUUACAAUCAUUUAUACAAAUAUACCCUAAAACGCAAAUUCAGUUGAUAUAUGUUCACUUAUAUAUGUUCUCUUACAAUCACUAAACUAUAGCCUUCAUUUUCUUACAAUUGACGGAACUUAGCCUCCUCAUCUCUCUCUCUUUAACUCUUUCUUCUUCUACAAAACGACGGAUCCGAUGAGAGAGGAAGCAGCAUGAUGUCGGAUCACCAUACAUGACACUGGAAGAGAGAAAGUUUUUUCUCUAACCGACCAUGAUCGAAGACGACAACCACUUCUUUAGAUCUGUCUCAGGUUUUUGAGUUUUUAGCUAUAUGUUGUUUAUGCGACUGAUUUGUCUCUUGAAUGGUAUAAGCCAGCCGUAACGUUCCUAUAACUCAACCGUCAAGUGUAAUUUGUUUUGCGGUGCUUCGUAUUUUGGGCAGGAACAAAAUAUUUUGAGCGGGAACAAACUCAUUCCUUCAACUCUGAGCACAAUACUACAAUUUUAAUCUUUUUUUAAAUUUGAACCUGAAUCCCUAACCUAUAGAACUAUAAGGUUAUAAAAAUUACAAACUCAGCCGUAACGUAUGCAUAACUCAGCCGUAAAGUAUGCAUAACUCAGUCGUAACGUAUCUGAAUAGUAUAAGCCAGUUGUAACGUUCCUAUAACUCAGCCGUCGAGUGUAAUUUGUUUCGCGACGUUUCAUAUUUUGGGGGGGAACAAAAUGUUUUGGGCGGGAACAAAAUCAUUCCUUCAACUCUUAACACAAUAUAAAACUUUAAUCUUUUCUGAAAUUUGAACCUCAAACCCUAAACUAUAGAACUAUAAAGUUAUAAAAUUGUAAAGAUUAUCAUUUGAACACAAUAUUAAAACUUUAAUCUUUUCGUAAAUUUGAACUUCAAACCCUAAACUAUAGAACUAUAAAGUUAUAAAAAAUUAUAAACUCACCCGUAACGUAUGCAUAACUCAGCCGUAACGUAUGCAUAAUUCAGCCGUAACGUAUGUGUUGGAGACUCACUGUAUGAACUAAAGUUAUCAUAUUCAGAUGACGCACCAUCUGAGUCAUCAAACGUAUAAAAUCAGAUUUCAAAUUCAUCAUCUUCUUCGUCUUCUCUCCUUUUCUUACUUUUUUGUUCAACUCUCAUUUUCUUACAAUUUACAGGACUUAGCUUCUUCAUCUUUCUCUUUGAGUCUUUGUUCUUUUGCAAGACGACGAAUCCAAUGAGAGAGGGAGCAUUCUUGCAGGAUGUCGGACCGCCAUACAUGACACUAGAGGGAAGGAAGCUUCUCUUUAACCGAUCAUCACCGAAAACGAUGAUGACUGCAGUAGAUCUGUCUCAGAUUUUCAAUUUUUUUUAAAUCUAUGUUUAUAGACCUAGUUGCGGAAACAAUAAUUACCAGAUCCAUAAGAUCUCAGAGAAAGAUGAAGAAUAAGAUGAAGAAGAUAGAUAUAAAAGAUGAAGAAGAAAGAUAACAUAGACCCUUAUUUUACUGUUGUAACAUUAGACUAGUGAUGACAUGGUAAAUCGGAGUUGAUGACAUGGCGGAUGACAUGGAAAAUCGGUUAGUCAGCCCCCAAACGAAUAUAUAACUCAGCCUAAAUAAAUCAGCCCUCAUGUACAAUGUAAGUCAGCCAAAACGUGGAUACUAUUUCAGUAAUUAAUCGUGUGCUAAUAAAUUAGCCGUAAUUAGGAUGCAAAAUCAUCAGUCAGCCGUAUCGUCAAAUAAAUCAGCCGUCAAACGAAUGCUAUUCUAGUAAUUAAUCUUUCGUUGAUAAUUUGUAAAUCUUAGAAGUGAGAGAAGAAGAAACGUCAAAGAAGAAGAGAAGAUUCCUGGAGAAGAAUCCGUAAAUAAGCUGAGUUUACUGUUAAUCCAUCCAAUUAUGGCUGAUUAAAUAUAACUCAGCCGUAACAACAUCCCAUAAGUCGGUCGUAAAUUGAAUAACUCAGCCAGUCGAUGUUAAUUAACUUAGUUGUGGAAACAUAACUCAGCCAUGUCUUAACUAUAACUCAGCCGAAUUUUCCAGAAAUCAAACUGCCGAUGUAUAAGUCAGCCGUAACGCGUGUACGUAAGUCAGCCGUUAUUCCAUAAAUCAGCCAGGUUUCUGUAAAUCAGCUGUAACUAACAGCUGACUUAUGUUCUUAACUCAGCCGUUUUCUCUUAAGCCAGCCGCGUUGUUUAGUUCAGCCGAAACGUAGCAAUAACUCAGCCGUAACUACGUGGCGCCGAGUUUUUGCUUAUGUGGCACUAAAAAGUAAUGACAUUCUUAUAAAUACGUUUUUUCUCAUAACAUAAAAAAAAGGCACGCUUGGGAUAAAAAAAUGGCAGUAAUAAAAAAAUAUCGGUAUGGUUCUAGUCAAUUGUCAUAAAAUAUGUACAUCCCUUUCUGUAAUACACCUGAUGCGUUUUACUCAAUUGUGCAUGCAUGUCAUAUAGUAUGUGUUUAAAGCAAUGUUUUGAAACCCGGACCGAACCGGCGGUCGGACCGGGGUGAACCAUGAACCGAAAAUAAUCCGGGUUGGGUUAAUGCUAAAACCAAACUAAAAUUGAACGAGUUAAAAACCCCUAUCGAACCGUCAAAAACCCGGGAACCGGCGAUCCAAUGAACCGGUCAAACCCCGGUUUGUAUAUAAGCUAAAAUUUUGUUAAUUGAACAAUUCAUUUUCUUCCUUUUUAAGUAGAAAUAAGAUUUAUCAAAGAUUAAUAAAGUAUUAUCUCUCGUCGUUUUCUUUUAUUUUCUCUACAACUCAUAAAUUACAAGAUUCACAAAGUUUAAUAUUCACGUCAAGAUAUUGCUUUUGUCUUCUUCUCACUCUUUUUAAAAAAAUUAUUUCAUGAUCACUUGUUUUGAAGACUUUAAAUCAUUGAAACAUUUUAGUUUCUGAAAUUUAUAUGUCAAAAUAUAACUUUUACCUAAUGUGUAUAUUUUUUUAAAAAAAGGUGAUGAAGAUGUAGAGUGAUAAGAUCUGCGAAUAAAGUUCAAAUGUACAUUUCAUAUUGAUUUUAGAUUUUAAUUAUUAUUUUUAAGUUUUUCUACACAUUAUGGCUAUUUAAACAUUUUAUUUGUUAUGAUUUAUUUUUUUACAAAAAUAUACAUAUUAUUUAUAAAAUAUCAUUAAAUUUAGUUUAAUCUAAAUAAAUCCGAUCGAACCCGGUUCAGAUCCGGUCGAACCACAAUGACCCAUGACCCAAAAAAAUUUUGGUUCGUUAGCCGGUCCGGUUUUAAAACACUGGUUUAAAGUAAACGAACCAACAUAACUAAAUAUUGGACGUCAUCCACACAUAAUAUACGGACGUUGCUGCCUGAUGCAUCGCCAUCUAUAAAAAUGAAUCAAGGGUCUAUGAAAAAUGAAAUUUGGGAAUAACCCAUCUUUUUUUCCUUUGUGUUAUGGAUAUAGGUAGAAGAUUCUUACUAAAUCUUGGUUUUUAUUUUACCAAAAAAAAAUCUUGGUUUUUAUAUGAGUAAUUUACAUCCAAAGGCAGUUUACGGUUUGUUUUUACACCGUGAGACAGUUUCCACUAUUGGGGUAGUUUAUGGGUGAAAAGACCCAACUUAACCUACUAAAAGCGUAACUGGUGAUUUAGAUUUUAGUUAGAUGGAUUUUAAUUGGUUUCGUUUUUGAAAUUCAAAAAUUAGUGGUGGGCCCCGAUGUGAAACUUAACCCUUUAUUCUUUUCAUUAACUAAAAGCGAAUUGAAUUUUUUUUCUUUUUAUUGGUUUCGUAACUGGCACCGAGGCAAAAUAAUUAUGAAACUUAGAAAGAGAGGAAGAAGAAACGAGACGACGGCGAAUUCCGGCGAAAGAGAAUCUCAGAAAGUUUCUCGGAGAAGGAUGUCGAGGAUACGCAACCGGCAUGGAAAAGAGAAGGACGAGGUAAGUGUCCUAACAUUUGUGUGCUUGCUGCAGAUCUUAAGGCAAUAUGUAUUUGAUGUUUCUGGUUUUUUUGUAGGAGCAAACACGACGGAGGUUGAGGAUCUAUUGGUGGUGAGAGAUGCACAACGGAACGCCGCAGAUGUCUACGGUAAGUGUUUUGAAUUCUUUUGUUUUAUUUGUGUUUUUGUAGAGAAGAAAAAAACAUAUCUCUGUUUACUUUCAGAGUUUAAUUGGUUUCGUUUUUGAAAUUCAAAAAUUAGUGGUGGGCCCCGAUGUGAAACUUAACCCUUUAUUCUUUUCAUUAACUAAAAGCGAAUUGAAUUUUUUUUCUUUUUAUUGGUUUCGUAACUGGCACCGAGGCAAAAUAAUUAUGAAACUUAGAAAGAGAGGAAGAAGAAACGAGACGACGGCGAAUUCCGGCGAAAGAGAAUCUCAGAAAGUUUCUCGGAGAAGGAUGUCGAGGAUACGCAACCGGCAUGGAAAAGAGAAGGACGAGGUAAGUGUCCUAACAUUUGUGUGCUUGCUGCAGAUCUUAAGGCAAUAUGUAUUUGAUGUUUCUGGUUUUUUUGUAGGAGCAAACACGACGGAGGUUGAGGAUCUAUUGGUGGUGAGAGAUGCACAACGGAACGCCGCAGAUGUCUACGGUAAGUGUUUUGAAUUCUUUUGUUUUAUUUGUGUUUUUGUAGAGAAGAAAAAAACAUAUCUCUGUUUACUUUCAGAGCCGCCAAUGGUGGCGGAAUUUCAACCGAGCCGGUGAAGGAUGCAGUGGCAUCACGACAUAGACGAUUGGGGAACCAACGGGUAAACAUUUUGGUGGAGAAGAUCUAUUACGAUCUGGAUAUAAUUUGUCCAAAUUCGAAAAUUAAAAUUGGUUUUGUUUUUUUAUUUAUUUUGGGUUAUAAUCAGUUAAGAUAUAUAAUAUUUUUAAUCCGGAGGUAAAAAAGCAAAAAUAAUGAAGAUUGCAUGAUAAAAAUCAAUGGUGGCUUUGAGAUAUAUUUGCAGGAAAUGCAGAAAACUCUAAUACGAAGAAGAUGAAAUUAUUACAAAAUUGCCACUAAUUAAAAGAAAAUUUAAAGAAAAAUUUAGAUGACGUGGAUGUGUACAUAAUGUUAGUGUACACGAUUACAUUGGAUGACCACAUGGAUGUGUAUAUAAUUUAGAUGACGUGGAUGUGUACAUAAAUUGUGUAUGUACAUUUGUUCGUGUACACGAGUACAUUGGGUGAUCACGUGGAUGUGUAGAUUAUCAAAGCUAAAAAUCAUUAGAUAUGCAUAACACACAAAAUCAUGUGUACACUAUUGUCAUAUACACCAUCUUCAGUUUGACUUCAUGUUUUAUUAUCCACAAGUACAAUGAUUCACAUGUACACAUAGUAACUUGUACAAUAAUACACAUGAAUGCCAUAAGAAUUUAUUUGCAAAUUAUAAACAGUUGGGGCAUAAACAAAAUAAAACAAAACGGCAUGGACCAAUGUUGAAAAUCAGAACAUUCACUAGGUCCGGAUUGCACAAAAAAAUUGGUCUUACAUGUGGGUGUCUAUGCAUCAGUCUACACAUGGACACUAUUAUAGAAGUGAAUCAUUGUACAUGAUAGUAAAUUUUGUAUCUCCACGUGAACAUAAUAUGGUUGUACACAUUUUGAAACUUGCAAAAUUUAUCCAAUUUAAUUUGGUUGAUGCGUAGACGAGAAGAUUAUAGACUAGUAAAAGUAUAAAUCUCAUUUAAAAUUUCCACAUAUACAAUGUUGUAAUGAAAACAUCCACAUGUACAAAAGGGUGUGUGCGAACAAGCUGUACAUUGGUUUACAUAUCCACAUGUACAAAAAGGCGUUCAGCCUUUCUUCCUUGCAUAUUAUACACCCUCAUGAAUUCUUCAUAUUAAAGUAGCUCAAUAAUAACCAUAUCUACAUGUUUGUUUACCAAUAUUGACAUGUACAUUUUACCAUGGUGCAAAAUUAAAUUAGACGUUUAUGAAUUUAUAAAGAAAGAAACUUGGUUUUGGAUGGUUAUUUUUUUGUUAUGUAGCGUACGUGUUGUACACUUGAGAUGUUUUAUGUACAACAUGUUCGUGUACUCCAAAGAUGAUGUACACCACCAUCGGAGAUGCACCUUCACAUAUCUCAAAAGAUAGAUCGUGUAAUAGAGAAAAUUAUUUCGUGUGUACAUGUACAGUCUAAUGGAUAGUGUACACUUUGAUGAUAGUGUAUGGACAUAUUUCAAAAAAAUUACAAAUGUAGAAAACAUUUUGAAAUGCAUUACAUCUUGAAAUAUUAAAAGUAUCUCAAUAAUUAACAUAUCUACAUGUUUGUUUACCAAUAUUGACAUGUUCAUUUUAUCAUGGUGCAACAUUCGAUUAGACAUUUACGAAUUUAUAAAGAAAGAAACUUGGUUUUGGAUGGUUGUUUUCUUGUUAUGUUAUGUAGCGUGUUGUACACUUGAGAUGUUUUAUGUACAUCAUGUUCGUGUACACCAAAGAUGUUGUACACCACCAUCGGAGAUGCACUUUCACAUAUCUCUAAAGAUAGAUCGUGUAAUAGAGAAAAUGAUUUCGUAAAUUUUUUUUUGAAAAAAUAAAUUUAAGAAACAGAUUUCAGUUUUCUAAGAAACUAAGUAUUAGGAGGAAGAAUGCGAAGGGAAACGGAAGAUGGACUCACUUUAUUUUUCAUGUAUUUUAAUUAUUAAAUAUAUAAAUGAAAUUGACUUUUUCCAAUACUAUAGAUCUGGACUGUCGAGGUUAUAAACCAUAAAGAAGAUCCAAUGGUUGUGAAAUGAGACAGAUAUAAGUCUUGUCAUAAAAAUCAAAAAUAAGUUGGGCCAUUGGGAAGAGAGUGAAAUGUGCGGUUGUGAUGUUUUUCCGCUAAUAUUACAUUUAGUUACUAACUAGGAUAGUCGGAUGUUAGCGAAUUAGUUUAAAAAAUGAAUAAGCUGUUAGGAUAAAGUGUGCUAGUAGAUGAAACUGUCCUAAAAUAUUAUAAAUAACUUAAAACUGUCCUAGAGUGUAAUUAUUUCUUUUUAUAUUGAUGGUUUAUUUACUUGAUGUUUCCCUCAUUUCAGUCAAUGUUUUUGCAAGAAAAGGAAAAGUCUUAAGUCGUUGCGGUGAAUUUGAUGUUGAUAUGAUAGAAUUCUGUAUGCGAUGUUAAAAGUUGGGUACAAAGUCAGUAUCAAUAAGGAAGUGAGCUGUCCUCUACUAAUAAGUCUUCUGUCCCGUAACAUCCUUUUCUUUCUUUUCUUAUCUUAGCCUUUUGUGGUUUGUCUGUUUCAGAAAGUUCUAUUACAAGAAACCACUCACGUUUUGAUUAAUGAAAAAUUAUUGUUGUCUCAAAUCUCAAGUACUUUGAACGACAAGGUCUUAUGUGGUUCAUGGAGUGUAUGAAUUUAUCUAUCUUACAUUACGGUAUCUAGAUAUUACAUGAACUUUUAACAUUUGUAUGUAAAAUAUUACCAUGUUUUGUAAGUGAUUGUUGAUGAUCCAAUCUAUGGGUCAAGGCCAUCUCUUGAGUUUUUUUUUUCUUAAACGAUUUCAAUUAUGGUCAAACUAUAUUUUAAAUGACAAGUAAAUCAGUUCUGUUACAGGAUCUAAUGGUAAAAUAAAGUUACACUUAUAAGAUUGUUUAUUUACUUUUGGAGAAUUUAUAAGAUUGUUUAUUUUUAUAAUCGGCCACUUUUUCUUAAAGAAAAACUCCAAAUCCUCAUACCAGUUUGAUGACAUAUUUGAACUUUUAUAAUUUGCCACUUUUUCUUAAAGAAAAAAACUCCAAAUCCUCAAAUACCAGUUUGAUGACAUAUUUGACAUGCUGUUGAUGAAAUCUUUUUAAAGUUAUAAUUUAGAGACAAAAAGCAUUGCUACAAAAUAGAUAAACAUCUUUUCUUUUAACCGAUAUUAUUUCUUUACGAACUGCGUUUGUUUUGUUGAGCGACCAAAGUGGUGUCACUAAUUUUACCAAAAAAAAAAGUGAUGUCACUAACUUUUACAUGCAUUUUAAGUUUUAACCAUCGGUUUACAUUUUGGAGUAAAUGCUGGUCUCAAGCAAACUACACAUUUCUUUUGUAUAAUAAUCUUUGUACAUACACACAUGACACAUGUGAACUGCCCAUGUGUCACUCAAUACAUGGACAUGCAUAUAUUGGUACCCAUCGGCAGCAUAGAUAAAACUGAUAACUAAUUGCUUUUAGACGUUAUCAAUGAAUAAUGACCAAGCAUGUUAUCAUUUUUAGAGUUUAUACUUUUCUCAAUUAUUAUAGCAUUGAUUACAAAAGAGAUCUCGCAUUACCCAAUGUUCGUAAUUUCCAUUUCUAUAGAUUGAUAACGAAUAAAUUGAUGUAUGAACCACUAUCUUAAUUGUCAUUAACUAAAAGAUUACUUCUCUGAUAUGACAUCCACCUACACUUAUAAUGCUUUACACAGUUUGAUAAAUUUGGCGCAGUGUUAAUAAGAUUGGUUGUUGGUAAUGCGCUAAGAAAAUCUCAUUGAUCAAUAACUUAGAUUCAACGACUGGAGAGCAGAGAUGAAAGUCAAAAGAUGUACUGAUUAGAUAUAAACUAACUCGUACGAAAUAACGUUAUAUAUGGAAUUAUUAGUAGUUUGAUUUUUAUUUUGACAUCAUAGUGCUGCUUUAUCUAUCUUCAUCUCUAAUUAAUCGAUACCGACAACCUUUCAUGAAUUAUCCAUUUUUGAUAAUUUGCGCUUAUAUUUAAUGGCUUCGAGUUUUGAUCAAGAUAAGGUUUGAGGUUUGGGCUUUGGGCUUUGGUCUAGAAGCCAUUAAACACUUCAUGUGGGCAUGUUUUGUUGCUUGGAAGUUAUGUUUUCGUCCGUUUCUUCUAAGUUUUUUCUCACGUAGCAUGUUUCUUGUGUUAAUGGAGAGAGGCGAUGCUUUCGACAGAAGUCUUGUGGUUCUAGAAAUGAACUUCUAGAAAUGAUGUCCAAGGUUAGUAUACAGAAGAGUUAAAACCUUAAUAGUAUAAAUGGUAUCAGCAUAUCGAAAAAGAAAAAAAUAUAAGGUAUACAGAUAUGCUAGGGACUAAUACUAUUAAUUACAUAUACAACCCAUUUAACUUUGGCCACCCGACUCUUGUGGUUUUGUGUUGUCCUGUCUGUACCGGAUUUUGGGUUCAGUGUUUGCCCAGCCCGGACUUAGAGGACGGUCCUUGAGCGGGCUUGUCUAUGUGUCUCAGAGGAAGGUAUUGGUUCAGGCAGUCGGAUGAAACAACUUCCAGCCAGCAUCGUGUCCUUUGAUCUCUGGGUUUCGGUCUCCCCAUCUGCCUACAUUGUUUAUGUCAUUUCACCCCUCUUAAGUUUGUAUCGAUCCUUGUUGUCCUGUUCGCUCCAAGGCAGAACGGUUUCAGGCUCGAUUGUCUUCUUGAUUACAUGUUUUUAACUUUUUUGCCGUGUAAUCAAGCAUAGAGGUCUACAGUUUGUUUUAACAUCUUGUAAACUUCAAAGUUCAUUUCGUAAUGAUAUUUAUCUUUUAGCAAAAAAAAAAACUUUGGCCACACUUUACUGAUCUUCAAACAAAAGGUGCAAAUGAAAAAAAAAAUGCAAAUGAUUGGCACUCAAAAGAAACUUUAUGAAAUACUCUUAUUGUGGAUGAUCUAGUGACUCGAAUAGCAUUGACGUUAUUUAAAUGUACAAAUAGUCAUGUUUUUCCCCACAGUUCAGAGAGCCAAAAGUAUGUGCCUAUUUUAUUGAUGUUCUAUUCCAUCAGAUGGGUUUGAUUCCUGCGGUUAUAAAUUUGAUUUUGAGAAAGAGAUGUAAGAUUUUACCGGUAAAUUGAGUGCUUCAUCCUUGUUUCAUAUCCUAGAUGAAUCGACACGUAAAUAGAUCACAUCACUGAACGUAAAUUUUUACCUAGUAUGUUGACGAUUCUCUUAUAUUUAUGAUUUUCUAGAGUCCAUUAAUCUCUUUAGAGCUUCAUGUGAUCUUUACAGUCCAUGCUUGAGUUACUUUUAAAGACGUCUCAAAUUAUAUAUAUUCAAUCCCUGGAAAUAGUUGGAUCGCUUCUGCUUUAGGAACUCCUAUAAGUUCUGGUGGAAGUGGAAUUUUUUAAACAGUUUCUUCUGAAGAUUGCAUUUAAAGAUUAAAUAAGAUUUUUUGGGGAUGAUGAAACUACAUUACUUUUAGAUUGUUUCUACUUGUGAGAGAUGUGAACAUCUUGCUCACAAAGACGUCUAUAUAUUUCAAACAACUGGGCCACAAAACUUUCAAAUGGCUUUAAAAUGGAAGACAUGUCCUCCAAAACACUAGCUUUCUCGGUCUCAGCUUCCUCAACCACAGCAAACAUGCCUUCAUUCAACAACUUCAUCUUUAAAAAUGAAGUUGUCCCAACUCCAGAAAUAACGCCGUCUUCAUCAUGUGAUCAUAUGACUGUCUUUGCUCAUAUACCCACAACAGAAACUUUGCCUUUAUUUGCAUCAGCCACAAUAAAUCUCUAUUUUGGUCAUAUAACUUCCCAUUGCACGUGCUUAUAACACUGUCACUGAACCACUCUUAGUACCAGCUUCUUAAGACACAUAACUAGUCUUAUUGGGUUUUAUUAUUCAUUUAAAACAAAGAUUCAACCACUACCACUCAAGUCACUAAAAUAUCUACUGUUGUGGAUGUUAUUCUUUACUUUCACAGAAGAUACUUCAAAAACUGCAUCAAUCUCAACGGAUGUCACUCUUUACAAAGACAACUUAACUUUUUACACUUCAAAAUGAUUAUGUAAUCACUAUGUCACCUAGUAAUUUGUUUCCCUUUUAUUUGUUACCUUUUAUAGUUAGUUCACAUGAGCCAAGAGAAAGUAUGGCAACUGUUAAUAGAGCUGAGAGCUCGGAGAAGAAGAUUGAAAUGGAAAUGUAUUUUCUGUUAUUGAUUCUAUUACAGGCCGUUAUACUUUAUAGGUGUUAGUACCGGUUUAUAGUUAUACCGGGUACAAUCACUUAACUGUAUUAAACCAACUAUACACAUUAAUAUUUCCCUCAAGAUGGCGAGUAACUGGAAUGUAAAGACAUCUUGCUUAUGAGUGAAUUAAACUGAGAAGGAAAGAGAGGUAAGGCUAAAACAUCAGCCAGUUGAGUAGAUAUCCCAACAUGUAGAGUAUUGAUCAAACCACUCACAAUCCUAUCUCGAACUUGAAGACAAUCCAAUUCAUGAAAAACUGGAUUGUUAGCAACGUGUAUAGCUGCUGUAGAGUCACAGAAGAAAGCAACAACUUUAGGUUGUGGGGCCUGUAACUCCCCAAGAAGAUUCACUAUCCAAAUGAAUUCUUUAACCGCAAUUUAUAUUGCUUUAUACUCUGAUUCAGCUGAGGAAUGAGAGACAACGUCUUGCUUCUUAGAUUUCCAUGAGAAGAGAGCUGAACCAAGAAACAUACAUAACCCGGAUGUAGAACGUCUUGUAUCUAAGCAAGAUCUCCAAUCUGCAUCAUUGUAUGUUUUGAGAAUCAGAUCAGAGUCUUCAGAAUAGAAUAGGCCAAGACCAAUAGUUCCUUUGAGGUAAUGAACCACAUUGUAUGCAACUUGAAGAUGAAUAUUCUGUGGAUUCAUAGCAAACUGACAAAGCUUGUUCACAUCAAAAGUUAUAUCCGGACGUGUAAUGGUGAGGUACAUUAGUUGUCCAACCAGCCUUCGAUAAACACUUGGAUCAUCAAUAAGUGGUUUUUUCAGAUCAUAGAAGAGUUCAAUACUCUGAUCCACUGGUAUAGGUGAUGGCUUGCCAGCCAUUUUUCAUGUUUCCUUUAGCAACUCAAGAACAUACUUGCGUUGACUGAUAUACAUCCCUUUGCUAGAAUGUGCAAUCUCCAAUCCAAGAAAGAAUCUCAGAGGACCAAGGUCUCUUAGCUUGAACACCUCUCAAAGAUUGUCUUUAAGUUGAUCGACUUCAUUAUCAUCAUUACUCGCUAUGUACUUUCCAUUAAAGUUCUUGAUGAAGAGAGUGUGAUCAGUAUGAGACUUGUUAAAUCCCAUUGAUAGAAGAGUUGAAUUGAACUUUAGAAACCAUUGUCUUGAAGGCUGUUUUAAGCUAUAAAGAGAUUUCUUUAGUUUGCAGACUGCAUUUUGGAGGCAAUGUUUCUCCCUCUUUUGGUGUGUAACCUGGAGGAAGUGUCAUAAAAAUUUCCUCUUGAAGAUAUCCAUUAAGAAACACAUUUGAAAUGUCAAGUUGCGUGAGAGUCCAAUUCUAUGCAGCUGCAACUGAUAAUAGAGCCUUUAUUGUGGUCAUCUUAGCAACAUGAGAGAAAGUAUCAACGCUAAUCGAGCUUUAUACCGUUCCAAAGGUUCAUCUGCAUUCAACUUCACUUUGUAAAUUCAUUUGCAUCCAAUAGCAUGCUUAUCAGGCGGUAAAGAACAUAUUGUCCAAGUCUUAAUACCCUCCAGAACUAUAAGUUCUUCAUUCAUUGCUUUCAGCCAUUCAUCAAAUUUCUUGGCUUGAGUGAAAGAAGUUGGUUCAAUAUGUUGAGACAGAGCACAUAUAUAUCUUUCAUAUACUUCUGAAAGCCUUGCAUAAGAUACAUGAACAGCCAAAGCGUAAGGAAUAUCCGUGUCAGUGAGAUUGCAUAGAUAAUCACUAAGAUAUUAUGGAGGCUUAGAUACUCAUGUAGAACUCUAUGUAUCAGUAGUUACAUGAGCUGAUGUAUAAUUAACCUUCAUAUCAUAUGUUGACGUUUCAGUAGAACCAUUCUGUGGAGACUUAGCAGACAUUAUAUCCAUCCAACCAGAAGAAAUAAACUCAUCAGGAUAGACUGGUUUAUCUUCUCCAAACAGAAAAAUGUCUUCAUGAAAUGUCACAUUUCUAGAGAUGUGAAGCUUGUUUGUCUCAAGAUACAAUAGUCUAUAUAUUUUGUAUCCAAAAGGAUAUCCAAGAAAAAUACAUGCUUCGGACCGUGGUUGGAAUUUAUGUCUAUUCUUAGAAGAUGUGGACAUGUAAGCCAAGCAACCAAAUACACGGAUGCAUGUGUAAUCCACUUGUUUAGAAGUAAGUAGUUCAAAUGGUGUAUUGUUCUUUAACCGAGGAGUAGAUAUACGGUUGAUCAAAAGUACUGCAGUCAAGACACAUUCUCCCCAAUACUCCAUUGGAAAUUAAGAUUGGAACAUCAGUGAUCUUGCCAUGUUAAGAAUAUGCUGAUGUUUCCUCUCUACAAAUGAAUUCUGCUAUGGUGUCUCUGGACAAGAGUGAUACGGUGUGAUUUAUUUCUUCUUAAAAAGCUUUGUGAAAUGAAGUUCCAGAGCAUUGUCUGAUCUAACACCUUUCACCAUUGUUUUAUACUGCAUUUCAAUCAUCUGUAAGAACUCAUGAAAAAUAGUAAGGACUUCAUCUUUGCGUCUGAGUAAAUAAAGCCAGGUGACUCGCGUGUGAUCAUCAAAAAUAUUAAGGAAGUAUAUGUAUCCUUCGAGAGUCAAUACAGAGAAAGGUCCUCAUAUGUUCAGAUGUAACAUAUCAAAAGCAGAGUCACAUAUAUUAUGAUGAGAAACAUAUGUGAGAUGCUUUUGUUUGGAAAGAUGGCAAAUAGAAUAAUGAUGACUUUUUUAUUCGGUUUAAAACCAAGUACAUCAUAUAAGGAAUCAGUCUUAAUCAUAGAAGGAUGUCCUAGUUUAUUGUGCCACAGAGCAGAAUCAACAAUUACAUUUGAACAGAACAGCAGAGGUUCUUCAUUGGAAAUUUCAGGAAGAGAAGUAGUAUCCAAAACAUACAGAUUCACAAUCUCAUAUGAGCGUGGAAGAUUCAUGAUAUGAAACCUUGCGGAAAGAUCAUUCCAAAUUUCAAAAGUGUCAUUAAAUCUCAGAAUACUUUUGUAAAUCUGUUUCGAAGCAGAGUUCAGUAUCCAAGAUUUGACUAUAGAAUUGCAUCGAGACCAUAUCAUGAAGCUAUGAUGAGAAUCAUUUGCCCUAGCUAACGAUCCAUCGAUAAAUUCUGAUUUGUUCUUCGCAAUGCUAUGGUCAUAGCUAUACACCAAUUAUUGUAAUUCAUAUCAUCUAGGACUUCAGAGAUAAUCCAAAGACCUGGAUUGCCACAGCUGGUGAGAUAGAACGAAGAGUGGAUGCUAUCGAUCGAUCCUGUUGGUGAGAUCGGCGACUCCGGUGGCGAAACUUCAGUAUGUGAAGCUCUCCUCGCCGAUGAUGGUGCUUUUCCCAUACGGUGUGUAACUCUCCUUCCGGUCCCCAUUGAUGAGGUCGGAAAUGAAGCGAGGAACUGAAUCGAGAGAGGUUUCAAGCCUCACAGCUCUGAUACCAUGUUAGUAGAGAGCUCGGAGAAGAAGAUCGAAAUGGAAAUGUAUUUUCUGUUAUUGAUUCUGUUACAUGCCGUUACACUAUAUAGUUUUAGUACCAGUUUAUAGUUAUACCGGGUACAAUCACUUAACCGUAUAAAACCAACUAUACACACUAAUAGCAACAAUUACUCAAGAUCUUGCAGUGGUUGCCCUAGUAAAUUUUUUUUUUGAAACACUUUUUUUUUAAACACGCUUUAGAAUCUUCAAAAAUAUGUUUUUAGGGAUUGAUUGCUCCAUUCUCAGGGAAUUUUGAGAGAUAACCCAAUUAAACCUUCUCAAAAGAUCCAAGAUUUGUCUUCUUCUUCUUUUGGUAGAGGACGUUAACGAAUAUGAUUUUGGUGUAUCGAAAGAUAGAGAAUUUGAUGGUGGAUUUUAAGAGAGUAUAAUCUCAUGUUGAUGAAAUCAGGACUUGGCGAUUAGGUUAUUGGAGACUCAGUAACCGGUAAUAGAAGAAAAGAUUGCAUACCCUUUUAAAAUGAACCAAGUCAUUCGUAGUUCUCUACAAGAGAAAUAAAAUGGUAGAUUGACAUGUUAAUGAGAAAACUGUCUUUUCAGCUGUGUAGAAAACUAUGAACGAUUAUUUCAGCUUUAUGUGCCUCCUUAUCGGAGGGGUUUAUUGGUAAAAGAAAUCUUAAGCAUAUUUAAAAUUUUGGGAUUAUAUAGUAUUGGUUCAUGGACUCUUAAAAUCAGGUUUGAGAAUUUUAAAAUUUUAUUAUUAUUGGUUUGAUUUUUUUUUUUAAUCCACUCAAAUCUCUUGUUAUUGAAAAAGCUUAAUUAUUGUGGAUUCUCACAUUUUAACUAAAUCUAAUAAGUCGAUCGAUCUAAAUUUAAGAAAGGAUUUGACGAGGUGCCAAACUUAUCUCAGAUAGCAAGUCCCCUCAAUCCAUCAAAUGAGUGUUUUCUGAAAUCGAAGGAUUUGUAAGAAAAACCAGGUCGACAUGAAUCGUGAUCGACUAGUUUCAGAAGGUAUAAAUUGUUGUGAAAUAUGAACUCGAUUUCAAGGUCAAUCAAUCUCUCAGCAAAACUCAUCUUCAACAUCAAAUCUUUUGAUAAAACUCCACUAUGUUUUGCUCAUGUCUAUUUUGAUAGUCAUGAAUUUUGAUAUACAUCUUGGGUUAGUACAAAGGGCAUGUUUUUCUUGUGCUAGUAAAAUACAGUCUAUGAUCAACCUUUUUGUGAUAAAGGAAGAUUGCGUUUUCGAGAUUAAACUCAAAAUAACUGUGUUGGUCUGAACUCGCCAUCGCUCUUGGUCUAUCCCUUUUAAAUAUAAGAUAGAUGUUUGUUUGGUUCAACCUUGGAUCAAAUACUUUAGUGGCAAAGAAGUCCUUCACCAAUCUGACAAUAUCUUGAUGUUUUACAUGCCAAAAUAUCUGGUGGAACCUGGUUGUCCUACCAUCCAGGCCCAAAGCUUUACCCAGAUUUAUAUCGAACAAUGCCUUUUCUUAUUUCUUGUCCUGGUUUUUUGUGAGUAGUCUCUUGGUAGAUGUUGAAACUUUCUCGAUCGUAUACCGGAGUGAAGCAUCCGUAUUUGAUGGAUACGAGGUAGAGAAGAGAUCUCAGAAAUAGUGAACACCAAAAUUCUCUAUUUCAGAAUUACUCUCACCAAACUUCCCAUCCUUAUCUACAAUGCUGAUGAUCCGAUUACGGGCUCGUCUUUGUUUUGUUAUGGCAUGGCGUAAUUUUGUGUUUUAUCCCCUGCUUGAGGCCAAAGAGUCAUGCUCUUUUGUUGCCAUAAUAUAUAAUUUUUAUAAACGCUAGCUGAAAUAAAUUGCCUCCUAUUAUCUCUGAAUUCGUCUAGGGUUGUAAACUCAUCAUCAUGAGCCAAAUCAAUUUGAGUUUUUCAGAUCUUCAAUCAGUUUUUUUCUGAGUCUGUUGGGAUUUUCAUACUCUAACUUAUUAUGUUACUCCAACAAGAGGCUAUUUUUGGUAAAAAUCCAUAAUUGGGAUGUAAUCAAAAGUGCCUCAUCCUAAAAUUAUCACUUCUUUAAAACCUGGUUCCCCAUUCAUAUCUUAUCAAAUUUGAAUUUUUUCUUUGAUCUCCUAAGCUUCGAUUGGAUACGAGCUAACAUAUGUCUAUGGUCUGAAUCUCAUAGUUUUAAGUACCAAAUUAUAAUAUGAGUAACGAGAGUGUCAUUCUUCAUUUGCAACUGAUUUAUCUAAUUUUUACUUCAUUUCCCCAUAACAUAUUUUCCAACCUACAAAAUUUAUUAUUUCUUAUUCACUGGUUUGUAUAUAUAUAUUAUUUUCAAAGGGGACAGUAAAAAAGCACUUGGUUUCAAAUCAAAAUACAAUUUUUUCGAGUUAGUAUAAUUCUUCAUAAAGUUUUGAAAAUAAAUAUAUAUUCAAAAAAAAAUUAGAAGUGAUUAAAUAAUUGUACUAAGUUACUGUAAAAGAAACGACAAAUCUUUUUUUUACUACUAAAUAAAAAUAAUGAUUCUAUGCAGAUACAUAAAAGUGAAUUCUAAGUACAAUAAUUUAUAUACAUAUAUUAAGAAUAGAACAAAGAUUUACACGAAAUAGAAAUACUUAAUAUUAAUUAAAAAAAGAAAAUUUAUUUGGAUUUGAUUAUUUAGAAUUAUUAUUUUUGAUCAAACCAUUUCUUUCAUUCAAACUUUAAAAACUAAAGGACAUAGUUCACAAUCCAAACAUGAUUGUUUGAGAGCAUAAAUAGAGCAUUCUUAGCAAGCAUAUCAGCUUGUGCAUUACAGUUGCGAGGAAUAAAACGAAAAGAGAUAGAUGACAGGGAUUGACUCAACACGCCUAAGUCAUGAAGGAUUUCCUUGAGUUCAAUCACAGUCUUGAUUCCUGUGAGAAUGUCGAUUAGAUUUCGAGAGUCUGAAAAACAGACUGCAUCUUUGAUUCCAGCUGAGACAGGCAUGGUGAGACCUUCUUUUAACGCCAGCGCUUCUGCAGUUAAAACAGAGGCGACCACACGUCGCGCAGAGGUCCCUUCGAAGAGAGUUACUCCCGCCGGGUCUGUAGCCACCCAGCCUAAUUCGCCUGCCCCCGAUGCGCCAUUCCAAGCAGCAUCCGAGUAGAUACUGGUGACGUUAACAGUUUUUUGGGGAGUGGAGUUAGACUUUUUAAAGUCUUUAGGUGAACCAGGGGAUGUUUUGGUGAUUUGAACAGCAGAUUGCCAUUAUUUUGCAGCUUUGAUAGCUCUCAACAUCGUGUAUGUUUCCGAGAAAGACUUGUCUUCGAACAACAAUUGGUUCCUGCUAGUCCACAAAACCCAAAAGAUCCAUGGGUAUAAGGGAGUAACCAAACCUGAGGGAGGUAGAUUCACUGUCUUCAAACACACGUCGAGGACCUCUCCCAUUGACUGAUCCGGGUUACAGUUUGGUCCAUACUUAACCGGAGCCAGCUUCCAAACUUUUUGAGCAAAAGGACAAGUAAGCAUGGCAUGAAGAACAUAUUCGAUUGAACCACAUAUUUUACACUUUCCAUCAACUUGAAUUCCCCACUUGAUAAGCAUUUCUCCCACAGCUAGUGCAUUAGUUUUAAAUUUCCAGAGGAAGUGAUUCAGCUUAGGCGAGCACUUAACAUGCCAAACAAAAAUUUUCCAGUUAAAUGAAUCAUGAGGGUUGCAGCUGUUAACCUUAGCUAGAGAGUACCCAGACUUAGUGGAAUAAUUCCUUGAUUUCUCAAAGAUCCAAACUCGUUCGUCUUCCAUUGCUUCAGGAUGUGGUCCUCAUACUGAGGUAUGUGGAGUUUGAUCUGGUCGACAUUCCACUUAGCUGUAUCUGGGUUGAUUAGGUCCUUCACCAGCAUGUUCUGAGCUAGAUCGGUUGGUGGGCCAAUAGGACAGAGUUGUUCUGUUGUAGAGAGCUAGUUCUCUUGCCAAAUCCGAACAAAUUCACCAUUUCCAAUCACCCAGCCUAGACCUUUCCUUAUAAUUUCUCCUCCCGCCAAGAUCCCUCUCCACCCGUGGGAUGAGGAGUUUGGUGCUGUACAUGAAACUAGGUCCUUGUCUCAGCAGUAUUUGUUUAGCAGUGUCUGUCCCAGCAGAGAGUCAGGGUCUUUGAGCAGCCGCCAGGUAUGUUUUGCCAAGAGUGCAUCAUUAAAAACUUCAAUUGCUCGGAAACCCAGUCCUCCCGCACUCUUUGGCAAAGUAAGUCUUUCCCACGAUAUCCAACACAUUUUCCUAAGCUCCGGUUUGACAUCCCACCAAAAACGAAUCAAAACCGAUUGAAUUUGCUUACACAAGAACUUAGAGAGUUUGAAACAAGACAUUGCAUAGGUAGGCAUUGACGCCAUCACUGCUUUUAAGAGUACCAUCUUCCCUGCUCAUUUAGAAUUAUUAUUUAACUAGGGAUUAGUCCGCCCUACGGACGGGUGAGCAAAUGUGGAAGUACAAUAUAAAAAAUUAAAUUGAUUUACAUUAAAAUUAACAUUAAUUUUAACUACAUAUUUUCUUAAUUAUUUUAAUUAUUAGUUUAUUUUUUAUUUUUUUAAAUUAUAUAAUUGAAAAUACAUUUGUUAUUUUUUGCUUAAGUAUUUUCCUACUUUGAACAUAAUAAUAAGUAUAAUGAAGUUUAUAAAUUUUACUUCAAUUAUUUCUCUUUUGUUAAUUUGUGUUUCUUAAAUUCAAUAUUUUGGUUUUUAUAUAUAUUUUCAGGAAAAUAUAAAUUUAGACAAAAAAAAAAUCUAAUUCACGGUAAUAGAGAAAAUAUUUUAAGUUAGGUACCUAUUAUAAAAAUCUAAUAUAUUAACAAACUCUUUUGGUGAAUCAUGUAUGUGUAAGUUCAACCUGUGUGUAUUUAUUUCUACUUGCUCACAUAUGUUGUAGUGCUUUUAUGUGAGAGUUUAGAGCAAGGUUGUUGGGUACCUGUUAUUUAAAAGGGAAUCCUCGCCUUCAAAGGCAUGUCUUGUUAGGUUGUUAGACAACUUAGACUGAUGGUAAGAUCAUCUGUGGGGUUUGAUUAUAUUUUAUCUGAGUUUCUCCUCAUAGUUGUGUAUCAGCUAGCAUGUGUUGUAGGUGAUUGUUUUUGUCGCAUUUUGGGUUGAGAAAUUGUUUGAAACCAUAGAGAGCAUGUGGAGAAUAGUUACCGAUAGUCUGCCACGUAGAGGAUAGUAAAUUUAAAAGAGUGAGUUACACAAUUAGACACUUUUGUCUUUUUCAUUACACAAUUAGACACAUCCUGCUUGCUAGACACAAUUCAUGUAACCUAGGUGUUCUUUUGUCAUAUUUGCCCUUCACAUGACUUAAAGCAAAUCACUUAUUUGUGGUUAGAAAAGGACGGGACCUUGUUAUUUUUAUUAGUUUUCUCUUUCUUUCUUUUUUCUACCAUAGCUUCCGAUUCACAUCCUCCAUCCUCAUAACUUCCACUUUCUCCUCCUCUCGACUAACCACCACCACCACCACCACCACUGUAUCCACCUCAAUAUGAUAACCACCGCAACUUCCACUCUAGUAUCCACCGCCAUCACGGCCGCCACCUCCGUAUCCAAAACUUAUGUAUCCCUAACCACCACCACCUGAACCUCUGUAUCCCUGACUCUCACGUCUUCAACCUCCACUAUAUCCACCACCAUCUCUUCCUCUCGAGUAACCACCUCCACCACCAUUGUAUUCACUAUCUUCGUACCCAUAACCACCACAAUCUCACUCCAAUAUCCUCCUCUUCAACCACAACCUCCACAAGGCAUCUUGUAACGACCCGCUCCCGGAAUAUUUUUAAAUUUGAAGGAAAUAAAUCGUGAGAGGUUUGAUUCAUCAAGGAGUCUAUUUUUCUAAGUAUGGAAACACUUAUAUCCAUGAAGGUUGGAAGAAUAAGUUGUACUUUGACAAGUUUCAGAUCAUUAGUGAGCUUAUGGAACGAAAUUGAAAUGGGCUGAGUGACUGUAGAACGAUCAUGAAAUGAUCGGAGCGUGCGUAAGGAAAGGUCGAGACCGCAUGGCUAAUUAAUGAAUGUUUGACUACUGGACAAUGUGGGUUCCAACUAAGGAAAGUUUGACUGGUCAUCUUUGGGCGAAUUUUACGGAAGAAAGAUCGGGAUAUCGAGAUUCAUGUAAGGAAAGAAGCGCAUAGAUUCUUUGAGUAUUGAUGGCAAAGUUUGACCAAGCCAAAUAAGGAAAAAAACAAUAAAUUUCCGGCUUGGUGAGCAAGUCCAAGAGCAAUAUAAAAAGAGACCUCCAGGUCUCAUUCUAGACACAACUCAAAAAGCAAGUCUUAGGGAGUCUAGAGAAUGAACGCAUUCUUAAAGAGAGAGUUUGGGCGGUGAGGAUCGAGCAAGGAGGAUCGCAGGAUUCUUCGCCGGAAAACACAACUAGGUUCAGAGUCUUCGAUCUUUUAAGAUCAAUCCAGGUGAGGACGUGAUUCGUGGCAGUCCAAUAAGAAUUAUUUUUUCUAGUUGAUUCAGUAAGAACGUGUGUAUGCUUGGAUAGAAUUCGUUUAUGGAAAGUUUGUUCAUCGUGUUCAUAGGAAAAUGUUUGAUAGAAUUCGUUUAAGGAAAGUUCAUUCUUCGUUUUCUUAAGAAAUGUAUGAUAGGAAUUGAUUAAGGAAAGUUCGUUCAUCGUGUUCUUGAGAAAUGCAUGCUAUGGAUUAUCGAGUUAUGUGAGAAUGUUUAUGUGAGAAAUGAACGUUUGAUCUUGAGAACCUAGGUCAGGAAAUUAUAAUGCGUUUAAGGAAAGAAUAAUUGAAAUGUAAUAUAAGGAAAAAAGGUUAAGGAAAAAGGUUAAGGGAAUGUAAUGGACCGACGGGUCACAGGUUGGCUACGGCCGCAGGUUUGGCUUCGGCCGCAGGUUGGCUUCGGCCGCAUGAUUAUAGACCUUCGGGUCGAAAGGUUAAUAAAUGUUAAAGUAAUGGAACUAGUUAAGUAAAGGAAUGGUAGAACCGGAUGCUAGGGUGUUAGUAUUGAUUGAAUGUUUGAUUAUUGGGCUAUAGUGGGCGGUAUUGAGCGUCCUCACUGAGUACUUUUGUAUGCUCAUGCCUCCUUUUGCGAUGCAGGUAAGGUUGAUUAUGUAGACCGGAGUGCGAGGCUAUAAAGACCAUCGGCAAGGGUGUUUUAAAUGUGGGUAAUGUUGAGAGAUUUUGUAAAAGAUAUUUUAUUGUAAACUACAUGAUUUUUAAUACUUAGUAUCGGGUUUCAUUUAUAAAGUUGCAGUAUUUCUCAUGUUCAUCCGAUAAAAUUUGACUCGAUAUUUUACUUAGAAAUUUUCACGUGUUUUUAAAGAUUCACGGGUUGGGGUGUUAUAAUUGGUUAAGGAAAAAGGUUAAGGGAAUGUAAUGGACCGACGGGUCACAGGUUGGCUACGGCCGCAGGUUUGGCUUCGGCCGCAGGUUGGCUUCGGCCGCAUGAUUAUAGACCUUCGGGUCGAAAGGUUAAUAAAUGUUAAAGUAAUGGAACUAGUUAAGUAAAGGAAUGGUAGAACCGGAUGCUAGGGUGUUAGUAUUGAUUGAAUGUUUGAUUAUUGGGCUAUAGUGGGCGGUAUUGAGCGUCCUCACUGAGUACUUUUGUAUGCUCAUGCCUCCUUUUGCGAUGCAGGUAAGGUUGAUUAUGUAGACCGGAGUGCGAGGCUAUAAAGACCAUCGGCAAGGGUGUUUUAAAUGUGGGUAAUGUUGAGAGAUUUUGUAAAAGAUAUUUUAUUGUAAACUACAUGAUUUUUAAUACUUAGUAUCGGGUUUCAUUUAUAAAGUUGCAGUAUUUCUCAUGUUCAUCCGAUAAAAUUUGACUCGAUAUUUUACUUAGAAAUUUUCACGUGUUUUUAAAGAUUCACGGGUUGGGGUGUUAUAAUUUGGUAUCAGAGCAGGGUUGGCCAGCCAGUUCUGUCUUGGCUGGCCGUUUUUCGAAAAUGGGAUUUGUGGGUAAGAGUGGAAAGGAACCGAUGGUCUAUGUCUCGCGCGAAGGAUGUGUGGUAUGAUUUUUCUAAGGUAUUUCUUGGUAUGUGUUUAUGAUUGGACUGCUAAGUAAAUGGCUAAGCAAAAUUAUGUUAAAUAGUUUGCAGGAAGUUAGUGAAAACUAACUUAAGUCUUAUGAAGGAUAUAAAGUCUCGACUGUCGGACUUUUCAAAGGGGAGACUAGGAGGGUAUGAGGUUGGAUCAGUCGACAAAGGUAAUAUGCUUAAAGUCGUGCGUGAUGGAGCAAGAUAUGUCAACGUUAGGGAAUGAGUAGAUAUUAUGAUAGAAUGUACGAAGCAAUAGUCGGCAUGGAUUGAUGGUUAUUGAUUGGGCUUGUAGCAUCCUCAUCCCGCAGUCUGAGCUGGAUCAGUCAAAGGCUGAGUGUUAGUUUGACUGAUCAGUCGAACCUGACACGUAUGACAUCUCGUCUGGAUAGUACUGGUCGGAUUAAGACAAUACUGUGGGUCCAGGCAUAGCAGUUGAGCUUGUCGGACUAAGCUGGUCGAAUUUAGACAAAGCAGUCAGACUUGUUUUUCGAGAAAAGUUAGUUUAUGUACGGACUGACUGGUAUACGUUAUGGUGAGAAUGGAUACCUUGCUGAACGUGUACUGAUAAGCUAAGUAAAACGGCGGGAACAGUUACCUGAUGGUUACUGAGCGGUUACUAAGCAGUUACAGGACGGUUUCGGGUGGUUACUGAACUACUUAACUGACUGGACGGUUUAUUGUCUGUAACUGCCAAGCAGUUAUGGAACGGUUACCUAACCGCCCGAUCGAGAAAGAAACUGUUCAGGGAGUUAAUAAAAACUAUCAAGGACGGUUACUGAUUUGGGAUUGGGCGCGGGAGUGAUUACGGGAAAGGAAAAACCGCCAACUUCCCUUUUUAAUAGGAUUCCGUGGAUCAGAAAGGAGGAGGCGACACUAGAAAAAAAAACAGAGAAAAACCAAGAGAGAAGGGAGAAACAGAUGGAGAGGGACUGAGAUCGGUAAGGAGGACUGAUCGGAUCCUUUCUCCGACUACCCUAGAGCUCACUUCACAUGUUGAUGCAGCUUUGGUUGUAGGGAAUUCUUGAUCUACUGCCUAUGACCGAUACCCUAUGUAUCUUUUGUGAGCAGUUUAGGAGAAGAACUGAACGUGGUUUCGAUGGUUAAGAGUAAUUUCGAUGGUUUCAGAAACGUGGUGAUAGAGAGGAAAUCGAGAUGAUAGAGACAAAGUGAGAAAACUUUUUGGGUAUAGGCUCUUAACCUAAUUUGCAGAAAGCCCAUAAUGUUUUGCAUAAUUAUUUUGAGGACGAAAAAUUCAACAAUUUCCUACAGAAGCCCAAACCCGUUUAAAAAUUUCAACAAAUGAGAGUGCGACACGUGUCGCUAAAAAGCACCCCCUUCCAUGAUGCUGUGGAAGCCUCUGAAAAAAGCAGAAUCUAAGUUUAUUAUUAUAGAUUAUGAUUUUACUAGGGUAUACCCGCCCUACGGACGGAAAAUAAACAAUAAAAACUACUAAAUAUGUUUAACUUAUUUUUAACUGAAACUAAAAUUAAUUUUCAUGAGUUUUACUAAAACAAUUUAUCUAUUUAUUCUAAAAAUCGUACUUAUUAAUUAUUAAAAGUUUUAUAAGAGAUUAUAUCUUUUUUCUUUUAAUGUUUGUUUUAGUUUAACUACCGUAAUAGUUAAAAUUAGUUUUUAAAAAUUGCUCGAAGAAUUUGAUGAAGUUAUAAGUAAUAAGUGCAAGUUUGACAAAGUUACAAGUAAUAAGCUGCGCAGUUUGAUCCAUUCUAACUGGAAAUAUAUUUAAGUUAGGUAGACUACACAAAAAUUUAAUAGUGAUCAUUACUAUUUAAAGUUAUACAUAUUUGUUUGAGGCUUAAAUAUAUUACUAUUAUGUUUGAAAAUAAAACAAAUCAUGUAAUCUAAGUAACUUCUGAUUAGAAUUUUUAAAAUAAAUGGUAUUUGGCAAUUAGCAUAAUAGUAAUUAUAAAUUCAUCAAACAUUUGUUAAUCUUCAUAUAACUUCAUAAUAAAUGGUACUUGGCAAUUUUUAUAUUUGUUAAUUUUUUAAACAUUUUUUUUGUUUGAUAGUAUAUUAUGUGUGAAUUGUUAUUUCGUAGUUUUGUUAUUUAUUGCAUCAUAUGAUUCUUGAAAUAGUUUGAAUGUGCAUAGGUUCAGGAUUUUUG
rnacentral:lncRNA from 1 species